rnacentral:lncRNA from 1 species
UUUUAUUUUUUUAAUCUAUAAUUAAACUUUCACACUUUAUUCAAUUUAAUCCUUUUAUCCAAUUAUAUUUAAUUAAGCUAAAUUCACUUAAUUAAACUCUAAUUAACCACUCAAUUAACUUUUUAAAUAUUUUUGAUAAAUAUUUACGGAUCCGUUUUUCAAUAACGGAGACUCGAAAAUACACUUUUUGGAUAACCGUAAAAUUCGGGUCAUUACAGAUUUUGCCCUUAUCGGUGUAAUUGUAAAUGGACGUCAUCCCCCAAGGUUAAUACAGUGCUUCCAAAUUCGUACACCCGAAUGAAGAAGAUGAAACUCAAAAGGAUUGAAAAGAAUGAAUGGUGGAAGGAGGGAGGAAAUAGUGAAAACCAAGAAGAGGUGGAGAACCAACUAGAAAGUAGAGGAAGACUGUGAAAGUGCAUAGAGGAGAAAGGGAGAAAAGAGCUGAAUAAUUUUUUGUACAUUUUGCAAAUGAGGGAAGACUCCCUUUUAUAGCUAAAAUAAAAGGGUUUUACGUCCAAAAAAUAUUUUAAGGGUUCCAUAUUAUUCCCCUAAAUCCACUCACUUUAGUUCCUCCAUACUCACACAUUCAAUUUGAAAUUUAUUAUUUAUAAAUUUUAUGAAACAAUCAAACUUUAGAAAAUGUAAUAGAUAAAAAAAUAUUUUUAUGAUAAAUUCAUACAAACCAUACCUAAAAAGAAACACGCGUGCAUGUGUCGAUGAUAGGAACAUGAAUUGGGUGGGUGGCUGCGGCGGCGACAGCGUGCAUGAAUGGGCUUAGUCUUUUAUUACUCAAUUAGAGUAAACCCAAAAGACUAUAUUUAAACCUUUGUGAAAGCCAAUGUUUUAUCAAUGUGAGAUUUUUGAAAAGAUGAGAAAAAAUGAGUAACAGCGAAAUUAGCUACUUAAGUACUAAUAUUUGUUAAAUUGGCACUAAUACACAGUGAAAUGGGAAAUUCUUCUCUUAACAAGUGAAUGAAUCUAGAACUCGUUAAAAUAGGAGUAAACUCAUAACAAACGACUAAUCUCAGGUCCAAUUGAGUUCCACAAUAGAUCAACAAUUUAGCUAAUAUACCUUGGGAUGCUGGUAAGUGCUCUAGAAAAAUGACCCAACAUCUUUCAUAAAAGUUAACUAAUCCUUCACACUUAUGUAGGUGAUUUCAUCAAGCCUAUCUCAGUAUAGACCACCCGGACCAAGGUUAUGAAAUCAUUAAAAGCAUUUAAUAAGCUCAACCUUUCAGUUUAGAAAUUCGGUGAAUUCAACAAGCCUGUCUCAAUAGAACCACCUAGAGCUUGGGAUAUGAAUUCAUAAAGAACAUUUAGAGGCUUAUCCUAAAAAUUUGGUAGGUUCAUCAAAUCCGUCUCAAUAGGACCACCCAAACCCUGGGCUAUGAACUCAUUAAGAGCAUCUAGUAAUUCAUUUUAUAAAUUUGGUGAAUUUAUCAAGUCUGUCUUAGUAGGAUCACCCAAACUCUGAGUUAUGAACUCAUUAAGAGUAAUGGACUCAUCCUUAUGUAUGUACCAUAGGGAUAAGUAAAUAUGUACUAUAUGAGUGUUUCCAUGGUUUCGUUUGACCACAUUGAACUUAGAAGGCUAAGUUAGGCAUCCACCAUGAAUUUCUCAACCAAUUGGCUUUAGACUCAUUCCCCUCGACAAAUCAAGAACCAUUUUCCUACAUAACCACUCAUGUCUUAUUUGUAUAUGCAUUUUCUUGCCAUUAUAAGCCUGCUUUUAAGCAACACAAAUAGCGGCUUGUGAGUCACAUAAUAAGGACACAAGAGGUGUAGUUUUCUCCCAUAAAGUAAACUCUGCAAGUAGAUUACUGAGCCACUCGACAUCUUGCCCGGUUAAAUCAAGAGUGCCGAAACCAUUUUUUUGAAAACGGGGAUCGACUUUUUGGAAAGCAAAAAUGGAGUCGCCACCGACCCUUUUUUUGAGGUGUAAUCGGAUCACCUUGAAGUUGAUCAUUUUAAUAAAACAUUUGAUUUAUUAAAAUAAUAAUUUUAGGUCUACGAAAAUUGAGAGAAAGGGUUCGGGAGUCGGUUAGGUAUGAGGAAGGAUUAGCACCCUCAUUACGCCCCAAAAUUGGUACCAAAUCGAUUAAAUAACUGUCCUUGUGUCUAAGAUUUAAAAUGUUUUUGAAAUGAGGUUUCUUUUGAUCACAUUUGAAUAACCCGAAUUGGACGUCAAAAUCUUCUUGUUUCAGAGGAAUAUAGCACCACAUCCAGCACGGUAGGAUGCAAUCCUUUAUACCCUCGAAAACACGAUAGAUUUUGACUUCCAAAAAAAUUUAUAAUUUGGAAAUUUCGAAAGGACGCUCAACUAUUUAGUUCAACGAAAAAUCGAAACCCAGCAUAGUAGGGCACGAUUCCUCGAAUUUCCAAACGUUGAACAUUGCCUCGCCUUAGAAAACACGAAUGAAAUUCUGAAGGGAUAUUCGAUUAUUUUGAACAAAUGGGAGAUUGCAACCCAGCACGAUAGGGCGCUAUUCCUCAAAUUGCUAAACAUCGAACAUUUCCUUCAUUUUAAAAAGUUUUUAGAAAACACAAAUGAAAUUCUAAAGAGAUAUUUGAUUAUUUUGAGCAAACGAGAAAUUGCAACCCAGCACAGUAGGGCACGAUUCCUCGAAUUGUCAAACAUCGAACAUCGCCUCCGUCUUAAGGAACAAAUAAUUAUAAAACCAGCUUGAAGUACACUAAUUUAACUUGAAAUAAAAGGGAAUAAUUUUUAAAGAAUUAGAAAUUAUAAAGUGAUAGUUGUAGAUCGGAAUGGAAAUAAAAAAAACACGGGAUGAUAUACAUGUAUGAAGUAUUAUGAUGAAUGAAUGGAGAUAAUAAAAUUCGUUUAAUCAACUAACAAAAUAACAACCGAAUUCCACUAAUCUAAAAAAUUAUCAAUUUCCUAAUCAUGAAUGAAGAAUAAUCAAUUGUGAUACAAAACGAAAAUAAUAAACCACAAUAAUAUAUGUAACCUAACACAACACACUCAAGUGCAAAGCAAAAUGAAAGUUAAAAAAAAAUGUAUAUAUAUGUGUAUAAGACAAAUUUAAAAGGAUGAACACAUAACCUAUAUUACAUGAAUUGUUAAACUAGAAACCUUUUAUAGAAACAAAAUAGAGGUAUACGUAUGACCAUUAAAAUAUAAUUUAAAAUUAAUAUUUAAAUCGAAUGAUAUACGAAAUGUUAAAGGGCAUCGGUUUAAAAUUGACAACUUAUAUAUAAUAAGGGACAAUAAAAAAUUAUGUAUAAAAUAUGCAAAGAUGGUAAAAAAUAUAUAUUAUGAAAUAUAAUUUGAAAAACAUAUUAGAUUUACAAAUCGUGUAUAUAUAUAUAAAUUUAGAAUAAAGUAAAAGGGAAAUGCAUACAUAACUCAAAUUAAUUUUGUCAUAUACUUGCAAAUAUAUAUAUAUAAAAGUGUUUGAAUGAGAUACUAUAUAAUAUAUUAAAAUAAUACGAUAUAAAUAAUUUCGAAGUAACAAUUUUAAAAGCAUAAAAACGAAUUUUAAAACGAUAGUUUAAUCAUUAAAAUAAUAUAUGUACAAAUAUACACAAGGAUAUUUAAAUGAGACAUUAUACAAAAAUAUUAAAAUAACAAAUUUCAAAAAAAUUAUACACAUGUAAAUAAUGCGAAAUAAUUAAAAUAAAUUAAACCACCUAGAUUAAUUUUAAAAUACGAAUAUUUCCUAGUAGAAAGCUCAACUAAAUUAAUAUAUGUACACAAAUGUAUAUAAAAAUUUAUAAACAAAGUGCUAUAUAAAACGUCAAAAUAUUAUGAUGUAAAAGAAUUUUAAAAUGGUGAUUUCAUUAAAAAAAAAGUGGAAUUAAUUAUAAGCAUAUAACAACAUAUAUGAAUAAUAUAUUAUACUCCACAAAGGAUAAUAGCAUACACAUAAAAUGAAUUAACCAAUGCACUAAAAACAUAUCAAAAUGAAUUACAGUAAGCUUCCAAACAUAAGAUAAUAAAAAUAAGAAAGUAACAACAAAACUAAUUUUAUUAUGAGCUUUAUAUGUAUAAUAGUAUACAAGAUAUUGGGAGGAAACUUUAAUCAAAAAUCUUAAACCAUAUAAUAUAAAAAGUUUUGAAAUAAAGAUUUUAUAUAUAAUAAAAAAGGGUAAAAUCAUCAUGAUAGCUAAAAAAGAGUACAUAUGUACUUGUAUAAAAAGUAAGUAUUAAGUGAAUAAAAAAAAAGGAGUUAUACUACCCAAAAGGACUCUAUUAAAACAAAAUUUAACUGAAGAGAUAUUUAAUAAACAAAAUAAACCGCUGAAAUUAAAGGAAGGACUAAAACGCAAUUUGCUUCAACACUCAGGGAUCAAAACAAGAAAUAUACCAACUCUAUGUUUUAGGUUAAGAUACCCUAAAAUCUUUUAUUUGGCUGCUUAAGACAUAUCAAAAAAACAACAGCCCCUUUUUUAUUCAUUCGGCAGAAAUAAAGAAAGCAGCCCCUUCCCCUCAAUUUCUUUUCUCUGCUAGGUUUUCUACCUUCCCCCUUUGAGCCGUCACCAAACCAUCGUGAACCCGCCGUGGCUUCCACCGUAAACGGUGGUCCAAAGCCUCAUGGAACCAGGUUUUUGGCACUUUUAAAGGGAGAUUCAAUGGUAAGGCCUUUCUAGACCGAAGAAAACAAAGGAGAAAGAACCCCCCACCUUCUCCUUGCGUCGAUUCCGACGACAGGAAAGAAAACUCCGGCGACGCAACCCCGGGUUUGGGUAAGUUUUCUUUUUCUCCUUUUAUUUAUAUUUUUGUAAAAAGGGAAUUUAAAAAAGGCAGAAAAAUAAGUAAGUAAAAAAGAAAAACCGAAAGAAAAAGAACAAAAAAACAAGAUCUAAAAUCAACCUUUUUGUUUUUGCUUUUUGAUUCCUUAAUCGUGUGAAAAUACAAUCUUUUCUUGUAUUCAAAAAUCCCCCUUUUUUUACAUUCAUCAUUCGGCCUUUUAAAGCCGAUUACAAAUAUAAAAAAAUGUUUCUACUGCUGUUUGCGUGUUGUGUUUAUCUGCUCUUCUUUGGUCUGUUUUGCAGGGAUGGCAGAGAGUUGGUGGUGGCAGCAGGAUGGGCAUGCUGGUACGGCGGCUAGGGUUUUAGAAAAAUCUAAUUUUCUUUUUUUACUUUUUUUUGUGUUUGGGCUAGGGUUUAGGUUGUUGGGCCUGGACGGAUUUGGCCCAAUACAAAGAGCUAUAAACUCUUAUUUCAUAGUGGAGUGAGCAACACAUGUCUGUUUAGCAGACUUCCAAGAAAUAAUUGCUCCACCUAAAGUAAAACACAUAGCAGCUAUUAGAGUUGACCUCAUCAUUAUCAGAUAAAUCUCCUCAUCUAAAUCACCGUUCAAGAAAGUUGUUUUCACAUUCAUCUGAUGUACAAGUAAGUUGUGAAUGGAAGCUAAAACAAACAAAACAUGAAUGGUUGAGAUCUUAGUAAUGGGAAAGUAUGUAUCGAAAAAAUCAACUCUAAAUUUUUAAGUAAAUCCCUUUACAACUAGUCUUGCCUUAUACGUUUGGAUUGAUCCAUCUGGUCUAAGUUUCUUUCUAAAAACCCAUUUAUUACUAAUAGGUUUACAAUCUUUAGGUAAGUCCACAAACUCCCAAGUAUGAUUAGAAAUAACGAAAUUCUAGCUCAUCGUUAAUAGCAUCUCUCCAAAAACUAGCAUAAAUUGAUUUUACAACUUCAUCAUAUGUUUUUGGAUCCUAUCUAUUAGGAAAGUAUGAGCAGUGAAAUCACUUAUUGAGUCUAAUUCAACAAUUUCAAUUAUAAAAGAAAUAAGGAAGUUAGGAUCAAAACUAGUUAAAGUUUUUUGUCUUUUACUCUUCCUAAGUUCAUCAUCAUAUUGAGAAUCCCUAGCGUGUUUACUAGAAGAGGAAGAAUCAUGUUCAUCUAACUGUAUGUCGUGCAUUAUAGCAUAUUUCUUUAAAGGGAUGAUGUUUUCGAAGAAAAUAACAUCUCUAGAUUCACAAAUAGAAUGAUCAUGCAAUGACAUAAAUUUAUAUGCCGUAUUGUUUAAAACAUUACCAAUAAAAGCUGCAUCAAAAGUAUUGCAGAUUAGGAGCAUAACUUUUCAAUAAUUCAUAUGGGGUGCAAUCUAAUUUUUUUAUGAGGCCCUUUGUUAAGAAUGUGAUUUGUAGAAAAUACGACCUCCAUCCACAUAUUGUCAAACAAGCUAGAACUUAGAAGUAAGACAUUCAUCAUUUCUUUUAAAGUUCUAUUCUUUCUUUCAGCUAUGUCGUUUUGUUGUGGAACAUAAGGGGCAGUGGACUCAUGCAUUAUGUCGUGUUUUUCUCAUACUUCUUUUAGAAAAUUAGUGUUAUAUUCACCACCUCUAUCGGAUCUAACCCGUUUUAUUCUUUUAUUAAGUUGGUUUUCUACUUUUACUUUUAAACAAGGAAUGUUUUAUUAGCUUCAUUUUUUGACCUUAGGAGAUAAAUAUUUGUGUAUCUAGAGUAAUCAUCUACAAAGGUAAUAUAAAAGUAUUUUUCUUCUUUACUCUCUAUGUUUCUAAAAUCUGUUAGAUCUGUGCGAAUUAACUCUAAAAGAACAGUCUUCCUAUUAGCAAUAUGUUUGAAGUGAGGUCUACUAUGCUUUGAUUCAACAUAGAUUUCACAUUUAUUAAAGUUUUUAUCUAGAUUAGGAAACAAUUUCAUUUCUUUAAGCAUUUUAAGGGAGUGAAAGUUCACGUGUCCUAAUCUAGCAUGCCAUAUAUCGAGAGACUCAAGAAUGUAAGCAGAAGUAUAAGUUUUAUUAAUAGCAUUAGACACAGUCUCAAUCACAAACAACCCUUUACUCGGGUAACCUUUUCUCUUAUAGUUUCCAUUACUGGAAAGUACAAGUUUGUCGGAUUCAAAGACUAGUUUAAUGUCUGCCUUAUUUAGAAGUCUACCACUAAUCAAGUUUCUACGUAAAGCAGAAACGUAUAAAACAUUAUUUAAAACAAGUGUUUUGCCAAAAGUAAGCUUAAGUAAAAUCUUUCCUUUAUCGAGUACUUCUGAACUACUAAAGUUACCCAUUUAGACUUGUUCACCUUCAGCUACAUUUUCAAAUUUGAUGAACAUCUCUUUAUUGGAGCAGAAAUGUUUAGAAGCGUUCGUGUCUAUUAUCCACUCAGUGUCAUUUUCCACUACGUUGACCUCGGAGACCACAAUAGUGACCACAUUGUCUAAAUCUUCAAUCAGGUUCGCUAAUGGUUUGUUCUCAUUCUGAUUGUGACUUCUGGAGCGAUCAGAGUUUCGAAAGCAUUGGUAUGCUCCGUGUACUGGCUUACUACAUACAUAGCAACUUAUCAAGUUGUUGGACUUUUGAAUCUUUCCAGGUUUCUUGAAAUUUGCAAGCUUAUUGGAUUGAGACUUGGUUUUCUUCUUUAGACUCCUAUCAUUCUUAAACCAUUGAAGUUUAGGACCAGAAGAAGAUUCCACGAGGUUAGCCUUAAACUUGUCUAAAUCUAUUUUUGGGCCUUGCACUUUUAUUUAAAAUUAAUUAUAUUUCGAAAACAUAUUUAAAUUUGGAUAAUAAUAGAAUUAUUGGACAAAUCUAUUUAAAUUGCAAUUGAAUAAUGAUAAUGAUUCAUUUAUCAUUUAAUUUUGUUUUUAUUUUCUUGAAUAAUUUCAUUAUAGGUUCUGAUCAUAUCUAAUAACCUAUAACUAUCCACAACCCCUCCCCAACCCAUAAAUAGGAAGAUAAUGCACUUUUGUGUACUCGAACCCUCGUCCUCCUGUAUUGGCAACAAUGUCCAUGACAAUCUAGUUAAGACUUAAUCGACAUUUAUCAUUUAAAUUUAAAUAUAACAAAUUUUUUUAUACAAUGAUAUGUAAGAAAUUAAGAAAAAUAUUUAUUAUAUAAAUUUAAAUAUAAAUUAUGUUAAUGCAAAAUUUACCUUCCAACUAUAAUUAAUUUGCAACUUAAGAAAUAAUUGAUAGUUGAUUGAUAUAUUUUUAACUAAAUUAGUAUAUUCUUAUUUUGAUGACUUGUGUGGUUUAUUAGCGACGCAUCUUUAAAGUCAAACAAGCAAAAAUCAACAAAAAAAAAUUGAAUUGAACGCUUUUAAUAUAAUUCAAAUUCCUCUUAUAUAGAAGAUUAGGUCAUAAAAGAACUUUGAUACUAGAGACAUCUCAAACAUUACAAGUAUAAUUAAAAACCUUUUUACUUGACUAUUUUAGUGGAAAGAAGUGGUUAUAAUUGAACAAGUCUUAUUAAAUUCUAUAUAUGCAUGGCAUGAUUAGGUUAAAUAUACACAUUGAGAGAGCAUUUUAUUUAUCUAUAAAAGAACUAUUUAUUUAAUGCAAAAUGUUAACACAUUUGAAGGUAAGAUUAAUUCUGUAGUUGUUUUUUUUAUUGAAAUAGUUGCCAUAACUUCUUGAACUAUUUCAUUGUUGCCUACUUUCAAGUUGGCAUACUUUAGAAUAAAAAUAUUGGAUUAUCUGUUGUGGGAUUAUUAGGAUGAAUUAAAACCCAAAACAUAAAAACUAAUUGAGUUGAAGUUGAAGAAUUGAAGAUUGGUUUCUUGCAUAGAGAUGAUGUAAUGGGCCAAAUCUGCCCGGGCCCAACAACCAAAAACCAAAAUUAAAAAACAAAUAAAAAUUAAACCAAAUUAAAUAUCCACAAGUCCAAAUUACAUAACCCAAUUUCAAACCCAAACCCAAAUAUAAAACCUAAAAACCAAAUUAAUCCUAGCCCAAUACUCAAUGGCCCAACAACUAAUAGAGCCCGAUAGGCCCAAUCCUUUGAAAGUUCUUGGGAACCCUAACCCUAGCCUCAUUUGUUUGGCGCCGCAGCAGCCUCCAGCAUCCUCCAGCACUACCAUCGCUCACGCCUCCACGUCGACACAACCGUACCACCUCUGUACACCGCCACGUACCUGCAAGUAGACAAGCAGACGAUAGCAAAUAGAAACAAAAAACAACAGAAUAGAAAAAGAAGGGGGCUUGUAUUUUUAUUUGGUGGGGAUGAGUGUUCGGAUAUAAAGGAUUCCUUUGAUUUUUGUAAAAAUGGGGGGAUUGAAAAAAAAGAGAAAUCAAUUAAAAAAAUAGUUUACCAAAGGUGAUUCGCUUUUUUCUCUGUUCUUAUUCUUUUUUAUCUUGUUUUGAAUCUACUGGACGAAUCUAAAAAAGGGAGAGUUCAUUUACUGUUUUGGUGUCGAUUUGGUCGACGUUGGCUCCUCCGGUCGAAGGUUGACAGAUCCUUGUGGGUCUGGUUGAAACCGCGACGGUGGUGGAGGCACAUUAUGCGCUGGUUAAGCCCACGAGCCGACCAAAAGUGGAGCACACGCAUAUUAAUAAAAUAGAAAUCAGUUCAAAAGCAGUUUACAAAAAAAAAAAGGAAUAUACUCAGAGGUUAUUAAGGGUGUUUAUUUCUUUUUUCUUCCUUUACUUUGAAUCGAUCCGGAAAAUAUACGAAAAAAGGGGGAAAGAGAGCAAAAAGGGUUGAGAGUACCUUCUCCAGCCACUGUUAUUCGCGUUCGAGAUGGAUUAGCGGCGGGGCUGAUCCAUUUGCGCCCUAGCAAAGAAGGAAGGGAGAAAUCCCUUCUGUUCCAUUCGAUUUUGGGACAGAUGCAUUUGGGGUUUCUUAUGCACAAGCCAAACGACGUCGUUUUAUCUGUGGUGGAACCCGCGCGUUGACCCGACCCACAUUCGGAUCCACGCCUUUGUUUAAAAAAGGGAUAAUUGCAUGAUUUGUCCUUCCCUUUCGCACUACCAUCUGAUCGGGCCCCAAUUUUAAUUUGCUUUAUUUUUAAUUUGUCUUUGUAAUUUGUGCGUGUUUGUACUUUGGUCCGUGCCUCUGCGCCUCGUUUUGGGGGACUCGGGACAUUUGCGAUUUUAAUCCCUGUUUGUUUGGGUGCGUUUAAUUAUGGUCCUCAAUUCUGCUUUAAUAAUUGUAUUUAUUUAUAAAUUGUUCUCUUAAUUUAUUUUUGUUUCAAUUGAGUUUCUUUAGUUUGAUGAUUUUUCUUUUAUAUAUAUUUUUAAAACAUAUUAUUCUUCAUUAUUUUAAAAUUAUUAUAUUGUUUAGUUUGUGAUAUCUUCUAUUCAUAUAUAUAUAUAUUAAGGUUUCUUUGGGUUUUCAAAAUUCAUUUAAUAUUUAUUUUAAAUAAUUCCAUAUGUUAUUAUGUUAUGCAUUAUUUCUCAUAUAAAUAUGUUGUCAAUUUUAUGUACAUAUUUCCCUUUUUUAAUUUAUUCACGUAUAUAUGUAUAUAUAUAUAAAAUUUGUUUAUACACAAUUUAUCUCUUUUAGAGAUCUCAUUUUGGUUUUUUACAUCUUUAUCUAUCACUUUUAUAUAUGUACUAAUUCUAUUAAGCAUUUAUUUUAUGUGUUAAUCAAUUUUAAGGCAAUAUAUUUUGUUUAGAUUAUUUCGCUAUUUCAUAUUUCUUUUCAUGCAAUAUUUAUUUUAGAGCUCCUCCACGAAUUAUGACUUAUCUUCAUUAUGUACUUUACUUCAAAUUCUCUCAUGUGUUGCCUAGUUUUAAAUUUUUUAGGUUAAAAUUAUAUGGUUUCAAAAUUCUUUUUCUUCAUUUAUUUUAAAUCUAUUUAUUAUCAUUCGAAAAUUUGUUUAUAUUAAUUUGCCAUGUAUAUGUUGUUUUAUUAUGUAUUAAUUUGUUAUUCUGUCAUGUAUAUUGUUUAUCCUUUAUUUCUAUUAUAUCUUCAUUAUACAUUGUUUACAUUGACUUUUAUUGUUGCAUGUAUAUCAUCAUCUUUAAGUAGAUAUGUUUUGUUUUUUAAAAUAUUUUUGUAUGUUAUUUGCUCUAAAUUUCUUUUACAAUAUUUAUUUUAAUCUUCAUUUAUAUAUUCUUAGUUUUUUUUUUUAUAUGCAAAUCAUUUCAAACCCUAACAUGCAUAGCUCAUUUUUUUUUAAAUUUUUAUUACUAAUGGUUUUUGAAUUGUUGCACAUUAUGUUGACUCCUAUUAUCCGUAUUAAUUUGUAUAUUAUAUAUUGUUUUUUUUUAGUUUUCAUUUCAUUUCAUACAUAACUACUGCAUAUUGUUUAUUCUUCAUUUGCAUUAUCAUUUUAAUUGUUGUUCAUCUAUAUUUGAAAAUUGGUUGUAUUUCCUUAUAAUAUGUUUCUUUGGUGAAUUAUAUUUUAGUUUCUCAUUAAUGUUCUAAAUGAGAUAUGAACUCAUUGUCAUGCUGUGUAUAUUAAUUCCUUUUUUUAUGUUUAUACUAUUAUUCUUCGCAAAGUAUAUUUUUUGUAUGUACAUUAUCCCAUAUCAUUGUUUUCCACUUGGUUUACAAGAUGCGGUUUUAUAAAGUCCAAAUCUUUAAGAUUAAUUCCAUUUCAUUUCAAGUCAAGUUAUUAAGGCAUUUUAAGCUAGUUUUAUAAUUAUUCAUUUAAAACCCCUUUAAAACGAGGGCGAUAUUCGAUAUUUGGCAAUUCGCGAAAUCGUGCCCUAACGUGUUGGGUUGCAAUUUCUCGUUUGAUCAAAAUAAUCGAAGGUCCCUUUUGAAUUUCACUCACAUUUUCUAAAAACUCUUCAAAACGAAGGUAAUAUUCGAUGUUUGACAAUUCGGGGAAUCAUGCCCUAUCGUGCUGGGUUACGAUUUCCUGUUUGUCCAAAUUGAUCCUUUAGAAUUUCACUCAUACUCUCUAAAUUCGAAAAUAAGGCAAUGUCUGAUACCUAGAAAUUCGAGGAGUCGUGCCCUACUGUGCUGCGUUUCGAUUUUCCCGUUGGACAAGAUAAUUGGUCAUCCUUUUGCGGUUUUCAACAUAUAAAUUUUUGGAAGUCAAAAUUUAUCAUGUUUUCAAGGGCAUAAAGGAUCAUGUCCUAUUGUGCUGGAUGUAAUGCUAUAUUCCUCUUAAGCAAAAGAAUUUUGAUGACCAACCCGGGUUAUUCAAAUGUCAUCGAAAGGGAACCACAUUUCAAAAACGUUUUUAAAUCUUAGACAAAAGGACAGUAUUUAAUCGAUUUGGUACCAAUUUUGGGCGUAGUGAGGGUGCUAAUCCUUCCUCAUGCGUAACCGACUCCGAAACCCGUUUUCUCAUAUUUUCGUAAGACCAAAAUCGUUGUUUUAGUAAAAAAGAAAUGUUUUAUUAAAAUAACUAAAUUUUUAGGUGAUCCAAUCACACCAAAACAAAAGGAUCGGUGGCGACUCCAUAUUUCUAUUUUUCAAAAAGUCGAUCGCCCUUUUUUUUUGCCCUAAAAAGAUGGUUUCGACAGAUGACAUAUUAGUCUUUUAAUCAAUUUGUUCAUUUUCUAUUAGAUUAAUGACAUGUUUAGGUUCAUCUAUUGAUAUAAGUUGUCUUUUUGUAUUACGAUCCGACCAUGUAAUACCGCUUAGUAUUAGUUAAACAUUAGAUAACCAUUAAGCCAAUAUUUACUUUCAUUUUUCUUUGUGCAAAAACCAUUGAGGACAAUAUAUAAAAGGUAUUAAUAUAAUUAAUGAAUAUUAUCAUUAAACCAAUUUGUUCAAAAAAAUAAACCCCAAAUCUAGACCCUUAACUUGAACUUUAAACCCUAAAACCCAAGUUUAAAAUUAGGGGUUCAAGAUUCGGGGUUCAAGUUUGAGGUUUAGGGUCAAAAUUCUGAGCUCAGGGUUCAAGGUUUAGGAUUCUAGGUUCGGGGUAAAAAAUUUCCAACAUUAUAUAUUAAUUACAUGGAAAAAAUUGUUAAAAUGACAUUAGAUAAUUAGAAAGAGACCAUGAGUGAUGUGAUGGAAAGGAUGCAUAAAAUUAUUUUUGAGCUCUCAAAGUAGUUCGGACUCAUUCAAGCCUAAUUUAAAUCAUAAGUACGUUUACAUACCUCUUAAGUCCCUUUUAGUUUAAAAAUUAAAUAAAUUAAUCACUUAGAAAAAAAAAAGGAAAAUGAGAAAAACAUUUGACAUAUGUGUUUCUUGUAGAAAAUUCAUUUCUUUUUCCUUUUAUUACCAGGAUGAUUUUGACAAAAAUCAUUAAUACCAUUAUUAAUUAUUCUUAUUUAUCUAGUUUCAAUUAAUUACUUUUAAUUUUGUAAUAGACAUCAACUUAAUUUUUUUUACCAAAAAUGUAGCAUUCAUAUCGUAUAUCCAUAGAGAGAGUGAGGUGGGGAGAGCCAGAACCACUGUUGUCAUUUUCGCAUGUCACGAAUUUUUUAAAUAUAUUAUAUACCUUAUUCAUUGUUCUAAUUUCCCCUUCUCCGUUUAUUCUUUUUAUUUAUUUAUUUUGGGAUGAGAAAUGAUAAUAUAGGAAAAGAACCACUGUGAAACACACAAAGGAUAAGUGGAUGAGAGUUCCCCAAUACCCCAAAAUAGGAUUUGGUCUCAAUUUCUCACCUCCAAAUGCUCAUCCACUUAAACUUGUAAUUUCCAUAUAAUAUAAUAUAAAUAUAUACUCUUACUUGUUUUAAUAUGGAUCCCAUUUUUUUAAUAUAAAACCUUUUUUUUAAACAUUUUUCAUUGCCAAUCAGUCCCUUACUAAUAAGUAGAGUAUUUCCAUAACUGGUUUAAUUCCCUUCAUGCACUGUGCUCCAUAGUCUUGGAACCCAAGGGUAUGCCUUUUCUCUACCUUAUUUCAUGGUCUUUUGGCCAUGUUGGUUUAGAUAGUAGACUAAAAUAUAUACACUUUCUAUGAUUCUGCUGCAUUAUUCAAUUUUACACUACAUUUCCCCCAUAUAUGUUUUGCUAUGUUAGCUAAAUUUCAGUUUAAGUCUCUGAUAUUGGUGUGUUGGACAUAUAAACUUUAUCCCAAGUUCUUUUCAUAUGUUGGGAUGAUAACUUUUCUAUAUUCAUAUUCAAAUAUAUAUUGAAUAGGAGUAUUUUAGAAUAAAUGAAUUUGACUCAGUAAAUUAUUAUGUAGUUUGUAUUUAUGUUUUUCCAUUGAAUAUUUUGGGUUAAAUAUCUUUCUUUCUUGUUCCUUUUAUCUGAAUUUAUGUUAUUUAAAUUCAAGUUGAAUGUUAAAAUAUGAGUAUGUAUUUAGGACGAAUAUUUCUAACAUAUUUAAAGUAUCCUAUAAUAAAUUCAUAUCUGAAUAUAUAUGAAAUGUAAAUAUUGAAUGAAGAUGCUUAAAGAACAAAUAAAAGUUGGGAGUUAAUUUUCAUGUUAAACAUGUAGUUAAAAGUAUUGAAAAAUGGAAGCAAAUGGCUCACGAAUUCAAUUUCUUAAUUUCAAAGGGUAGAGCCUCAUUUAUUUUAAUUGGUUUUGUAUCUUACAUAUCUUAUCGGGUAAAUUUUAGUAAAAAUUUAUGCUAAUACGAAUCCAAAGAAUUUCUAUUUUUGAAAUUUAAAGGAAUUUUUAAAUAUAUUAAAAGAAAUUCUAAAUACAUAGAAAAUUUUAAAAUAUUUAUAUACACAAUGAACCAUGUCUAUGUCUAUGUCUAUGUGACAUAAGUUGAAUUAGUUUCUUCUCAUCUCUAUAGUUUUAUGCAUGUAUUUGGAACUUUGUUAUAACAUGGUUUAGUUUAAUAUUAUUUUUUUAAAAUAUUUUAAAAUUACUAAAAGAAUAUUUUUAAAAAAAAAUUGAUUUAAUUAUUUAAAUGUUUAUGUAAAGUUAGGUAGAUAAUGAAUGCAAAAAAAAGAUGCUCAUAGUCUAGGUCUUGAAGCCCGACAUUUGAUUGAACUAUUGUCCGUACCAUUCAGUCUGGUUACAUUGUUUUGGUCCCUAAUCCUUACUGGUAUCAUAUGUUUUUUCAGACAGAAGACUCUUUUAACAUUUCACCGCAAAGAUGGAGAUAACAAAUGUGACCGAGUAUCAAGAAAUUGCAAAGCAAAAGUUGCCAAAGAUGGUGUAUGACUACUACGCAUCUGGUGCUGAGGACCAAUGGACAUUGCAUGAGAAUAGAUUUGCUUUCACUAAGAUACUGUGAGCUUUUUUUUUUGAAAACAAAGACCAGAUUGUUCCUUUAUUGCUAAAUGUUUAUGUCUCAAUUUGUUUACAUUCUUUGUUCUUAAGGUUUCGUCCUCGUAUUCUCAUCGAUGUAAGCAAGAUAGACAUGACCACAACUGUGUUGGGUUUCAAGAUAUCAAUGCCUAUCAUGAUUGCCCCAACUGCCUUUCAAAAAAUGGCUCAUCCUGAAGGUAUGGAAUCGGUUUCAUUUUGUUAUUUAGUUCUUGUUUCAUGGAAGCCAAUUUGAGUGAGAUCCCUUUCAAUUUGUGUGACAGGGGAGUAUGCAACAGCUAGGGCUGCAUCUGCUGCUGGAACUAUCAUGGUUUGGUUUCUCAUUCCCGACUUAUUUAACCCCAAUCGUCGAAUGUUUUUAUGCUAAAACCGAUCCAUAACCGGUGACAGUGUUCCAAUUCAUUUUUAACUUGCUUGUUGAUCAUUUCAGACAUUAUCCUCAUGGGCAACUUCUAGUGUUGAGGAGGUUGCUUCGACAGGACCCGGCAUUCGGUUUUUCCAACUCUAUGUAAGUUCAAUAAUGCAUACAUUGGUGUCCUAUAUUUGUACAUCAACUGAUCUUCGAUGUCGAAUCUCAAGGUAUACAAGGACAGGAAUGUAGUUGCACAGCUAGUUAGAAGAGCCGAGAGGGCUGGUUUCAAGGCAAUUGCCCUUACAGUUGAUACUCCGAGACUCGGUCGCCGAGAAGCUGAUAUCAAGAACAGGUAUUAUUGUCUCGCAGUGUCUUCGAGGCUGUUAAGCAUUCUUCGUAAUAUAUUCGAGUUACACUCAAAGAGUCUUAUGUUUCAAAAUUCCCUUGCAGGUUCACUUUACCACCAUUUUUGACAUUGAAGAACUUUGAAGGUUUGGACCUUGGCAAGAUGGAUAAAGUGAGUAGUCCUUUCGACAUUAGUGUUAAAAAAUAUACUAAUGAGAUGAGCAUUUGUUUCCUAUGAUAUUUAACUUGUUAUUGGAGCAUGCAGGCUGAUGACUCGGGUCUUGCUUCGUAUGUUGCCGGACAAAUCGAUCGUUCCCUUAGCUGGAAGGUACGUAUGUGCACAAGCCGAUCCAGGGAUUCUAUCGGUUAAUUUACAAUGUACAUGCUAUAGUUUUGAUUAAACGUGUAAUAAAUGAACUCUAUUGGCUAUGCAUAGGAUGUGAAAUGGCUUCAAACAAUCACUACAUUGCCAAUUCUUGUGAAGGGUGUACUCACUGCUGAAGAUGGUGAGAAAGAACUCGAACCCUUCUCUGUUUCUCCGUUUCGAUAACAUAUACUGGUUUUUUGAACUAUACCUAUGCUUGUCUCACAGCAAGGAUAGCGGUAGAGGCUGGAGCAUCCGGGAUCAUCGUCUCCAACCACGGAGCUCGCCAACUCGAUUAUGUUCCUGCCACUAUCAUGGCCCUGGAAGAGGUAAACAAUGGUUUCAGACAUAGGGAGCACAUUACCAAAAACUUCAUGUUUCACAAAUUAUUGAAACUCUCUCAGGUUGUCAAAGCUGCUCAAGGUCGGGUUCCUGUCUUCUUGGACGGUGGUGUUCGGCGUGGAACCGAUGUUUUUAAAGCUUUGGCAUUGGGAGCCUCUGGUAUAUUUGUAAGUAUAUUACUGUCCUGCCCCUAUAGGGGCUGCACCAUGAAUCUGCAAAAGUUGAUAUUAUACAAUGGUGCAAUAUUAUAACAAUGAUGCUUAAAUCUCAGAUUGGGCGACCAGUGGUGUUCUCAUUGGCUGCUGAAGGAGAAGCUGGCGUGAGGAAAGUGCUUUCGAUGCUGCGUGAGGAGUUCGAGCUAACCAUGGCGUUGAGCGGUUGUCGUUCGCUCAAAGAAAUCACUCGUGACCACAUCGUGACAGAAUGGGACAGUCCUCAUCCUCGUCCGGCCCCGAGACUGUAGAGCGCUAUAUAUUAUGGGCCUGGAACUUUAGCCAAGCAAAUCACAGGAUGAACUUACCCGGAGCUCAAGAGAUAUAUAUAGCAUCCGCAUUGCAUUUAUGGCAUAAAAUUACUCUGUUUUUUUUCUGUGGGAACAUGUUUCUGUUUCAUUGAGUUAAAAGGUUAUGUAAUGAUAAUGUUGGCUACUGCUGCCUUUUCACUGUAUAUUCUUUUCUUAAAAACGAUUUGCUGAUAUGAGUCUUCAUAAAUGAACAUUAAUCAAUAAUUCUGCUUUCUGCUUAAGAUUCAAUAGUUUUCAGUCACCAAAUCAUUUGUAUUUGCAGCAGCACUAUAGUUAAAGAUUUAUGGAAAUAUGCAUUUGGUUCGUUGGUAAUAUGAGUCUUCAUAUUAUGUGUGAUAUAUUUUUCUUAAAAUUAAAUUUUAUUGCGGGUCUCUCUACAUAAAUCCGGUAUUUGUCGCGUGAGAACAAGCAUGGCUGCUGCACAUCAUUCUAAUCAGUAAUGCAUGAUCACAUUCGACCUCAAUUUUUCGAAAUCCUCUGUUUCGGGCCGAGAUUAGUCCCUCAAGAAGAGCUCUAGCUGCUGCUUGAAAAAUACCAGCAACUCCCAGGCAUUUAGCAUAGCCAACAAUCCAACAAGCAUUUGAAUCUCGUAAAACUCCACCACUUGCCGUACCUUUCGUGUCAAAAUCCAUAGAAGCCUCCGAAUUAAGCUUGAUCCAACCAUUCUGGGGUGGUCUCCAAGACUCGCAAGGAUCAUACUGGACGAUAACAUUAUGUUUUGGAAUCGAAACCUGCAGAUUAUGUGCCCAAGCAAGGCUCGACGCUAGCUGAUCUUUGUUGCUGCCACGAUGAGUGUUAGAAUUGUGUGACCCAAAUUCUAAGAGAUUGCUUGCAAGUCAAGUUAAACAAAAAUAUAUUUUCUUUCUAGAAGAUUUAGUAUUUAUUAGUAUAAUAUAUUUAGCAUUUAUUAGUAUAGUUUAUUUGACUUACUAAUUUAGCCUAUAAAUAGGCUCCUUUACAAUCUUAGAAUUAAGAGACACCCAUUAGAUUAGAACUCAUAACACAUUCAGAGAAUUUUGUGUUUACGUUUGAGGGUUCUUUGUUUUUCGGGUUUUCGGGGUUUAGUUUUUAUCUCCAUCUUUUGUACUCUUCAUUCUUUUGCCAUUAUAGUAAAAUUAUCUUUGCCCGUGGUUUUUUAUCCUCUUUUGAGGGGUUUUUCCACGUUAAAUUUGUGUGUUCAUCUUCUCAAUUUCUUCUACUAUUUUUACUUGUUCGUUGCUUAAUCGGGACGAUCCUAACAAGUGGUAUCAGAGCUAGUUUAACUUUCAUAGAUCAGCCCGGUCAGAGAUGGCAGCAACAAGGUUUGAAAUUGAGAAGUUCGAUGGUGAGACAAAUUUCAAUCUGUGGCAAGUUCGGAUGAUGGCAAUUCUAGUUCAAAAUGGCUUGAAAAAGGUUGUUACAGGGAAAAAGCCUGAGAAUCUAAAUCAAACAGAAUGGGAAGAGCUUGAUGAAAAGGCCUUGUCUGUAAUCCAGUUGUGCCUCGCGAAUACAGUAUUGCAGGAGGUAUUGAUGGAGAAGACCUCAUUCGCCUUGUGGAAAAGGUUAGAAACUCUUUAUGCGACUAAGUCUCUGGCUAACCGUUUAGUGUUGAAACAACGUCUAUUUACGUUUCGCAUGAACGAAGGUGAGCUUCUUAAAGAUCACAUCAGUCAAUUCAUUACUCUUUUAAAUGAUUUAAAGAACGUUGAGGUUCAUAUUGACGAUGAAGAUCAAGCUAUGCUAUUAUUGUGCUCUUUACCCUCUUCAUACAAGUCUUUCAGGGAGACCCUGAUUUAUGGCAGAGACAAACUCUCGUUCGAAGAUGUGAAGGGUCAUUUGUUGAGUAGAGACAAACUCGACAAUGAGUUUGAUUUGAAUAGCAAAGCAGAUAGACAAGCUUCCGUUUUGGUAGCAUCAAAGAAACGAGACAAAAGGUGUCACUAUUGCAAAAAGUUAGGUCACGUCAAAGCAGAUUGUUAUAAACUGCGAAAUAAAAGAGCUGCUGAGAGUAACGAGGAAGAUGUAGCUGGUGCUAAUUUGGUCGAUGAAGGCGGUGAUGAUUUCUUGUUAGUGUCAACGAGCGAUAACUCCAAGCUUACGUCUGAGUGGAUCCUAGAUUCAGGAUGUUCUUUCCACAUGUGUCCCAAUAGAGAAUGGUUCUCCACAUACAGUUCAGUUGAAGGUGGAGUUGUGCACAUGGGAAACGAUUCAUCUAGUAAAAUAAUCGGUAUUGGUACUGUUAAAAUUAGGAUACACGAUGGGACGAUUAGGACACUCUCAGAUGUCAGGUAUGUACCUGAUUUACGAAAGAAUCUCAUCUCCUUGAGUAUUUUAGACUUGAAAGGAUGCAGAAUCAACAUCGAGUCGAGCGACAUUAAAGUAUCUCGUGGAGCUCUCGUUUUGUUAAAAGGUAAAAGAACCGGCAGUCUUUAUAUUCUGGAAGGUUCUACAGUGACUGGUGAAAUCGGACGUCCCUCGUCCGUUACGGAGUCAAAGUCAACUCAUUUGAAGCGGAGACAACUUGGUCAUAGGAGGGAAAAAGGUAUGACCGUUUCGUUGAAGAGAGGUUCUCUUUUGGAUGCAGGUUUUGAAAAGUUAGGGCACUGUAUUCGUGAAAAUCAGACCCGGGUUAGUUUUGAUUUGGCAGUGCACAAGUCGAAGGCUAGAAGUCUUCCAGCUUCUAAGCAUAGGUUCGACUCAGUUAAUUCCCUGCAUAGUUCAAGAUAGGCCCGUGGCGGGUUUUGGCAAAGAUGGCAUUGAAAGAAUUUGUGUCAAGGUGGAGAUUGUUAGAAUUGUGUGACCCAAAUUCUAAGAGAUUGCUUGCAAGUCAAGUUAAACAAAAAUAUAUUUUCUUUCUAGAAGAUUUAGUAUUUAUUAGUAUAAUAUAUUUAGCAUUUAUUAGUAUAGUUUAUUUGACUUACUAAUUUAGCCUAUAAAUAGGCUUCUUUACAAUCUUAGAAUUAAGAGACACCCAUUAGAUUAGAACUCAUAACACAUUCAGAGAAUUUUGUGUUUACGUUUGAGGGUUCUUUGUUUUUCGGGUUUUCGGGGUUUAGUUUUUAUCUCCAUCUUUUGUACUCUUCAUUCUUUUGCCAUUAUAGUAAAAUUAUCUUUGCCCGUGGUUUUUUAUCCUCUUUUGAGGGGUUUUUCCACGUUAAAUUUGUGUGUUCAUCUUCUCAAUUUCUUCUACUAUUUUUACUUGUUCGUUGCUUAAUCGGGACGAUCCUAACAAUGAGCAUCCUUAAACACAAAAUCAUUGCUGUUCUUCCAAAUCAUCCGACUAAGAAUAGCAAAUAGUGAGCACCAUCUUGCUCCCUCAAUCAUCUCAUUCAUAUUUAUUAAUAUCUUAUACUUUUUUAACUUGAAUUUAAAAAAAAAACUAAAUAUGAUCUAAAUCUCGAAUGAUGUUACAAUAUUGUACAACAACUAAUUUAUAUCAAUUAAAAUUUUAACUAACAAAUAAUUUUGUUAUAAAAAGAAUUGACUACAUUGUUUUGUCCACCAUCAAUGAAGUAAAAAACAAAAUUUCCACUAGACAAGUGGUACCAUGGUUGCUAGGUAAGACCAUAUAAGCCUUAGUUGGUAGUUUGAAUCCCCAAAGGCAUAUUCUUCAUAAUUAAUAUUAUGCACAAUACUAACAUCUUUUUUGUAAGCUUAUUGGUCGUAUCUCUACCAACCAAACCGCUCCCUAAACUAUGUGAAACCCAUUGGACUCUCUUUGAAGUACGAGGGACAAAAUCACUAAUGUCAUAUAAGGGUAUAGGUUCACAUCCUACCAAGACUAAAUGCUCACAUUUCCAUGUUGGCGAGGCACUCCUUAAAUUCUGUGAACCUAGAUGAGCUCUCUUCGGAACUGGAAGAUAAAACCGAGCAUAGAUACCCCAACACAAUACCUCCAUUGUUGAGGAGUCCGUUAACUCUCCAAAUGACACUUUAAAGACUUCUCCUAGAGCAAGACCAACCGCUCCUCAACAACACUUAACAACAAUAUAUCCACCCAUUUUUCUCCACUAACAAGGAACAAAAUAAUUAUGUUGAUAAUUUUUUUUUUAAAACUAAUGAGUAAAUAUUUGGGGUCACUAAUCACACACAUCUCAUCAUAGGCACCCACUUGAUAAAAGCAUGACAGUCCCAAUUUGUGUUGCCAUUUUGGCAACUUUGAACCUUGUCCUGCUCAACCAUUUAAAUUUGCAUUUAAGCCUCUAAUUUUUCCUCUUGGCUUAAUUGCUUCCAAAAUGGGUAGGCUGCGGUAUUCGUUCUAUCACCAUUUCUAUAUUUUUUGUACUAUUAUUGACAUGUCUACUUCAUUUCAAUUUGCUAGUAAAUUCCUUCUUCACGUUUUUAAUCCUUUACUACUAAAACAUCAUUUUCAUUCAUUAAAUCAUGCACGCACAUAUGGUUUUUUGUUUUUAUUUUUGUAUUCGGAUAUACUUCAAAAACAUUUAUGUAUGCUGGCAACCAUGUGGGUGAGGCAAUGCAUGAUGCAAGCAAUUACAUUUGCAAGUGUUGGUGCCAAAAAUGCUUAAUUUACAAUUUGGUUCUUAAACUAUACUCCUUUUCUCACUUUUGUAUUUAACUUUUUUUUUUACAUAAAUUGAUAUCUAAAGUACAUUUAUUUCUCAAUUCAAUACCUAAAGAAUGCUUCUGUUAUAUUUUUUAGUCCAUUUUUUACAAAGAUUAAAAAAAAAGGUUGGUAAGUUUCACGUGACAUCUUUAUAUAAAAAACAAAUAUUUUCUUUUAUUAAAUGUAAAUCAAUAUUUCAAUUAAAGUACGGAUUGAAGGAUAAGAGAAUAUAUAAAAACUUACAUAGAUAAAAUGAUAUAAUUUAAGAUAUUUUAGUAUUUUAACUAUGAAAGAAAAUUUAUCGAGUUCGAUCAAUAAAGAGUUGACACAUUGCAUAUUGAAUGAAAAAGACCCAAAAGUUUCUUUUUAUGUCAACAUUGAUUUUGAGGGUGGGAAGGGGACCAAUUUUGGUACAUUAAUUGGACAAUCAAUACCAACAAAUUGCCUUUGCUUGUGGAUGAUUCACGGAGGAAAAUAAAUGGAAAUAGUUUUCAAAUGUUUUGGCUAUGUAUAUGGUAUAAUUAAGGUAUUUUUCAUAUUUAUUUUAUAGUUCUACAGCUUAUCGAUUUUUUUGUGAUUUGUAAUUGUCUCUUUCAAUAAUAUUAUUUUUAAAAUUUUAAAAUAUAUUUUAUCUUUAAAAAUAUAAUGUGUAUUAUUACUACACCUAACAAUUAUUGAUGACUUUUAAUAUAUUUCAUAGCAUGUUAUUAUUAUUAGGAGGAGGAGGACAUACCCUCCUUGAAAAGGCAUUCUUCAUUGCCUUAUUCAUCAUUUUCCUUUCACCUGAAAUUUUAUCCUUUUCUUUUUCUUUCUAGCCCUUUCAGUGGUCCAUUAUAAACUGUCUUUUUUUUAAUAUAAAAUAUGUAACCUCACUAUACAAAAAAUGUUGUCAUCAAGGGAUUACAGAUGUUAAAAAAUUCCAACUUUAAAUUUUAGAUUUUUAAAUAUGAUGGGAUGGUUUAAAAUUAAUUAUUUGUUAGAGUCUCUGAACAUCUCACUAAUGGUUGAUAUUCGCAAGUCGACAUUAACAUAACUAUUAACAUCAAGUUUGAUAAGUCGUAAUUUAUACAUAUUUUUAUCCCAUAUUUAGUAUAUUUAUGGAUGAAUUAUCAUUAGAUUUGUGGAAUUCGAUGCCCCUAAUCCUUUAAUUUCAUGUUUUAUGCUUAGGUGAGCAUAGGAGAGUAAAAAGAGUGAGAAACAGGCCAAAAAUGGAGAAAAUGGGUCAACGUAGGAAAUCAACACGGCCUGGACUUCCCCACACGAGUAGACCACACGCCCGUGUCUAUUUAGUAGACUCUAACACGACUUAAGCCACCGCACACGGGCGUGCCCCUGUCGGGCCCAAGUCUAGUUCUAUUUGGAAAAGGCCACUUUUGAGGGUUUGGAAGCAUUCUAAAGCCUAUAUAAACACCCUAGAAGGGCACCUAGAAAACACACGGAGUAGGAGGCAAGGAAUUACUCGAAGAAAGCCGAUUGAUCCAUCUCAGAAGCCGGAUUCUCCUUCAAGACUGAAGAUCUCCCUUCAAUUUCCUUCAAGGGUUUUUAGGUUUUCUUUAUGUUUUGUUAUCAUUAUUCUUCUGAGAUGUUUUCUUUUACACAUAUGAACUAAAUCUCCUAAAUACCUAAGAGGAGUGAAACCUAAGAUGGAUCUUGUUAUUAUUUUUUGAAUUAUAUGAUAAAUACUUGAUUUGAUCUUGAUUAUGUGUUCUUAAUUCUUGCUUUAAUAUUCCAGGAUAUUAAUUCAAGUAUUGAUAUGCUUAUUCAGAGGAGCAAAAGUCCCUGUCUAAGAGUAGAUCUAGCAUAAUUAAGCGGAGUUGAUUGCACCCCUAGACAUAGGGCGACAUAAAUAUGCCGGAUUAGGGUCAAACCUAAUAAGAGAAUCCAUAGAUCGAGUUAAUGCAACACUAGGGGUUCUAAUUAGAAAAAGAUAUCAAUUAAUCAACCUUGGGUUAGACAUUGUUAGUCUCGAGAGAGAUAAUAAUAUAAAUUAGGGAUUUCUACGGAUCGAGUCAAGUGAAUAAAUCGUCUAAUUCAGAGUCAAAUAACAAGUGAAGUCUAGGCCCUUGGGUACUGUCCAAAUCAAUUAGUUUUCCCAAAAGUAUUUCCGCAAUUUACUUUCUGUGCAUUCUUAGUUUAGUUAAUUAGUUUAGAUAAAGCAAAUCCCCUAAUAGUACUUUUAGUUCUUGUGGGUUCGACAUUCUGGUCUUGCUAUAAGCUAUACUACUGUUCGAUAGGUGCGCUUGCCUUUAUCGUGAUAAUAGUUAGUUUUCAAGUACGAUCAAUCAUAAAUAUAAAACUUAUUACGCAACAUCAAAAUUCUAUCCGACUUUCACAUUGAGGUCACUAAUUACUCUGACCCAAGGUUCAAACUUACGAGAUUCGUGGUUUUUCAUUCUAACAAUGUCAUUUCUAUAAUUCAAAUUUGAAUUCUUUCCUUAGAAAUGCGACGUGUUUUAUCAGUUACUAUUGUAUUCAACAUUUGUUAAUAUAUAUAUUUAAUAUUUUUCAAAUACAACAGAGUUAGGUAAAAGUAUCACAGAGACUUUUAUAUUAGGAGUUGAAUUGUAUUUUGUCACCUCUACUUAGAAAAUGGACAAACUAGUCCGUGUACAUUAAAUCAAAGAGCAAACAGAUCAUUCUAUUAAAAUUUCAUCCAUUUUUAUUAUUGAAAACAUAUCAUUAUACAUUAACAUGAUGUACACAUAAUCUGUCACGUAUAACUGUUUGGUUAUUUUGUCAACCAUGCUAGUUUUUAACAGUACAAAUGGAUGAACAUACUGUAAGGCCCAAAUUUUGCCCGGGGCCCAAAAACCAAAUAAAAUAAUUACAAAACCCAUUACCCAGUUGCAAGCCUAAUAAGCCCAAUAAACCAAAUAAAUAAAUACAAAAUAAACCCAAUAACCUAAAACCCUAAAGCCCAAAUCAGCCCACUAUCUUAACUUUUUCAGUAGCCACCCAAACCCUAGCCUCCUCUUAGCUGCCGCUCCUCCCACGAGCACGCGCUUCCACCACUGGCCUCCCCACGCAUGCCCCUCUCCUCCACGCGUCUGACACCCCUCAAAGCCUGCAAACAAGCAAGAAAAGAAGACACAAAAAGACAAAAACCAUGUGCAAACAACAAAGGAUAUAGCAGAGAAAUAGUAGCGAAAUGUAAAGAGAACUAUCGGCUAUAAAGCCUUGGGGGAGAACCGAUUGUAAGGGGGGUUUCCUAAUUCAAAAAGGGGGAAACGGACUGUAAAUAGGGGGACGGAUUGAAAAAAAAAUCAAUUAAAAAAACAGUUUACCGAAGAUGAUUCGCAUUUUUUUCUCUGUUCUUAUUCUUUGUUCUUACUUUAUUUUGAAUCUACUUGACGAAUCUAAAAAAGGAGUUUUUGGUGUCUAUUUAGUCGACGUUGGCUCCUCCGAUCUGAAGGUUGACAGAUCCUUGUGGGUCUGGCUGAAACCACGACGGUGGUGGAGGCGUAUCAUGCGCCGGUGAAACCCAAGAGUUGGCCAAGGUGAAGAAUAGGAGAAAAAGAAAGGAAUUUCGGGGGUUUUUGCUUAGAAAAAUGGUUUUGUAAGCUUUUAAAAAUAUAAAUGUAUAAUAAAAGUUGUAUUAAAUUUGAAGUGAUGCAAUUAAGAGGGUGGAAACCCGCGUGUUGACCUGCUUAUUAGACUGGAAUUGCGCAUUUCCACCUUAAAGGGGGAAUUUGUGCAAACAGUCCCUCCCAUUUGCACCACCUCUAAUUUAAUACUAUUCCAAUUCUUUCAUUUUUGCCCUGAACUUUGCGCGCCACUCCAAUUUAGUCCCCGCUUGAGUGCUGUUUUUUGGGGUUGGGAACAUUGGCACUUUAGCCCUUGUGCGUUCACGCGCAUUCCAUUUUAGUCCUUAAGCCUAUUUCAACUAUUUUAUUAUUUACACUUUAACCCUUUUAUUAUUUAUUUAUUUCAAUUUGUCUUCUUAAUUUUAUUUAAGUUAUAAUUGAGCCCUCUUAUUUUUUUAAUUCAUUUAUUCAUCAGUUUGUCUAUUUACAUGUUUAGUUAUAUAUUAUUCUUUUUUCAUUUUAUUAUUUCAUUCAUUUUCCUAUUUAUAUACUGUUCAAUCACUCAUUUUACUAUUAUUUAAGAUUUUAAAUUUAAAUUUAAUUUAAGUUUAUUUAUUCAUUUAUUUUAUAUUGAUUUUCAUUUCUUAUUACCCGUAUUUCGCUUUAAAAAUGGUUUAUUCUUUUUUAUUUUUCUUGUUGUACCAUCAUUAUCACGUACAUCUAUAUUGUUUAUUUACUUACUAUUUUUCAUGUAUACAUCUCAUCUAUAUUGUUGCUCCAUUCAUUUUUAUAUUUCAUGAUACUUACCUAUUUUUAUCAUAUACAUUUCAUGUUAUUUCAUCUUUUAGUCAAUCUUAUUUAUUUUGUUAAUAUUAUGAUUUGACCAAUAAUAUUAUUUUUAUCGUACUACUAUUGCUAUCAUCGUAUUAUUAAACUAAUUAAUCUUAUAUUGAUUUUGUUACAUUAUAUACUUUUUUCUUUUUGUAUUUAUUUACAUUAUUAUUAUUAUUAUUAUUAUCAUUCUUGAGCAACAUAUACUUUACAUUAUUAUCAAUGUUAAAAAUUUUACAUAUGUUAUUUCUUUUAAACUAUUAUACAAAUUAUUUAUUUUGAGAUUUUUAUAUACGUCUUUUAUUUUAUAUACAUAUAUUGUUCAUUUUAAAUUUCUUAAAUGUCAUUUAAUUAUAUCGUUUUAUAUGAUAAUUGUAUUAAAUUCUCUUUAUUAUUUAGUGUAAACCUUUCUACUAUUAUCAAUUUUAAAAUUUCAUAUGUUAUUUAUAUUAAACUUUUGUAUAUAUCUUUCAUAUGUUAAUGAUUUUAAAUUCUUUUAUUGUUAUUUGUUUUGAACUUUCUAUAUACAUUACUUGUUUUAAUUUUACUUCGGAUUAUAUUUAUAUAUAAAUUUUCAUUUAAACUAUUUUUGUAUAUUGUUUAUUUUAAAUUUCUCAUUUAUACAUUAUUUAUUUUAAGCUCUUUUGUAUGUAUUUGAAAGGGUCCCUUUUUUUAUUUUACUUUGUGAAUUAUUUAUCUUAACUAAUUUAACAUAUUAUUUAUUUGAAAUUUGCUUUUUAUAUUUUAUCCAUGUUAAAUCUUUUUCAUAUGUCAUUUAUUUUGGUAUUACGAGUUUUAAAUCUUAGUUAUUUUAUUUGUUAAUCAAUUUUAAACUUUUAUCCUAUUCACUUUGAAUCAUUUUUCGCAUGUUAUUUUAUUGUUGAUGAGUAUUAAAAAGUAAUAUACAUUAUGAAUAUUGCCAUCACAUACAUUAGAAAUUAUUUAUUGACAUUUUCAUGUUGGGGCAUUCAUUAAUAUUGUAUCUAAUUCAUGUUUCAUUAUUCCAUACGCCAUUUUACACUCUUGUUUAUCUAGUUUAAAUCAUAUCGUGUAUUAAGUCCCAACGUUUUACUCAAUAUGGAUCGUUCUGUUUUUAUUCCAAACAAAAUAAAUACACAUCAUUUUAAAUUGCACAUUUGCUAUUAUUUCAUAAAAGGAAAAUUCUCAAAUAAAAACAAUAUUCCGUAUUCAAAAUUCGGGAAAUCAUGCCCUAACUUACUGGGUUUCGAUUUUUUCUCGUUUAACCCAAAUAACGGCAUGUUCUUUUAAAUCAUAAAACGAGUUUUAAAUAAAAUGCUUACUCUCUGAGAUUUGAGGUGUUGUGUCCUAACUCACUGGAUAUGACAUCUUAUUACCUCGAGAUAAGAUUUUUUGCAAAUAAGGUAAUAUUUCGUGUUUGGAAAUUUCGAGAAAUCGUGCCCUAUGUGUUGGGUUUCGAUUUAUCAUUUGACCGAAUAAACGGAUAUCCUUUUUAAAAUUUCAAUGCAUGAGUUUUGGAAAUCAUGAGAUGAUUUUGGGUAUCGAAGGUUGGAAAUGUCGUGUCCUAUGUGUUGGAUGUGAUAUUUUACCCUUUCGAAAUAAGAGAAUCUUAAUAUCCACUUCAAGUUAGCUAAACAUUCAUAAAAAGGGAUCGUAUUUCAAAAUUUAUUUUAAAUCUUUUCAAUUUUCGAUAUUAAGACAUUAAUUAAUCAAUUAGGUACCAAUUUUGGGCGUUACAAGGGUGCUAAUCCUUCCUCGUACGUAACCGACUCCCGAACCUGUUUUCUCAAAAUUCGUAGACCAAAAUGUCAUUUUAGUAAACUAAAAUGUUUUAUUAAAACAAGGGUGAUCCGAUCACACCCAAUAAAGAUCGGUGGCGACUCCCGUUUUAAUUUUCACUUUCAAAACCAAAGUCGACCCCCCCUUUUUUUUUCAAAAAAUGGUUUCGACACAUACCAAGACUAAUUUUGUCUAAUUUUUUUUACUGAAAAAGAUCAAAUACAAUCUAACUAUUAAUAUAAUCACCUCCAUAAUACUUUUAUCUAUAAUUACCGUAUUUUCUAUCUUUAUUCCACUUAAGAUAUUUUCCAUUUUUAAACACUUUGGAUUUCCAAAUUAAUCAUAUUAGCACAUUCGAGAUGUUAAUAAUAAAUGUAGGGAAAAGUGAUGAAUUGGUUUUGCAUAUAUCAAUGAUUCAAUUCAAUUAAUUUUUUUAAAAAUGUGACAUACAAUCUAUUAAUUAUUUCCAAUUUUCGACCUCCAUUUUACAAAAUCAUGCAUAUUUCAAGCUUCAAGAACAGUCAAUUUUCAAUGAAAAACACAGUUUUAAACUCAUUCUAUUAAGUCAAUUUCAGCUUCGUUAUACCACCAUUGACAACCAUUCAAUUUCAACUUUGUUUUACCAUCAAUUGACAUCCACUGAAUUGAUGGUUAACUUCAUUUAUCCAUUUUAUUUAAUUGUUUAUCUUAAAAUUUUGUUUAUUCAAUUUAUUCAAGUUUUUUUUAAAAGCUUUAAUAUCCUUAUAAAUUACAAAUUUUAAAAAAAUCAAAUUUAAAAUUUGAUUAAUAAUUAAAAGGAGAUUUUAUGUUUUCCCUUGACAAUAAGGCAUUGUUAAUCAAAGAAAAUGACUUCACACAUAAAAUAAGUUGGAGUUGUUGGGGGAGCACAUGAGCUUCAUUUGAAGAAUAAACCAGGACCCAAUUUAAUUGGGGCUGUUUUUCUUGGCUCCCAAAUAGCAGCCUCUGAAUUUCCUUUGACCAUUAUUAAUAUAUGUAGGAUUUAUGUCUUUAAAUUCUUUCCUCCCAUGCACCUACUAAUAAAUACAUUUGUUAAGAUUGAUUUUAAAAAUAUUUUUUCCACAGCAUUUAAUUAGAGUAGAAUCAAUACCAUACAGAGAAAAAUACUUAAAAUUAUUUCAUCCACCAGAUUCAAUGUAAGUUUUUUUGGUUGCAAGAACAAGAAUAGAAAUACAAUACUUAAAAAAAAUACUUAAAGGAUAUUUCGCCCACGACAUUCAAUAUAUAAAUUUUUCUGUUACAAAAACAAGAGCAGGAAUAACAGUCAAACAAAAUCCUUAAGGAUGUUUAGCCCACAACAUUUGGUAAGUUUUGUUAUUGGUUAUAAGAACAAGAGUACAAACAACAACGUUUAGAGAAAAUACUCAAAAUUGCUUCACCGUAUUACCACAUUCAAGAGAGAGAAUCCAUUUAUUUGGAUUAUAUUAAACUUUUAGAUUUAAUUCUCGUGCACAGGAGUCCAUUCCUUUAAGAGGCUCUUAUAAGCAAAUGCAUACAAAUUUAAUAAAUGACCUGAAAUUACAUCUUCUGAAAUAUCUUUUAUUCUCAAUAAAUAUUAAAUUUUCUUUUAAAAUUAAAUUAAAUUCAAUUAAUAAUUCAUGUUUUAUUAAGUCAUUUUUACAAAUUUCUUUGUAGUUUACGAGUUAAUCUUCAUGUAUGAUUUAAUUUCUUUCGUAUAAAUUUCACAAUAUAAUUGUCAUCACCAAUGUAUUAACAUUAUCAUCAAACAAUUAAAACAACCAAACAAUACUCCAAAGGUUUGACAUUCAAAAACCUUGUUCCUAAUAAAUUUAAGUAUGCCGUUGCAAGACUAAGAUAUUUGCUACAAUUGUUACACAUGUAUAUGUAUAUGCAAAUAGCAAUAUGGGGCAGAACAUUAUAGUCAUAUGUUUGAAAAUUGCUUAUUGCAUGUUGAGCAUUGCUCCUAGGAUAUAAAAACAAAACAAGUCCAUCACUUUUGAGUUAUGAGCCAGCACUAAGUUAGCAAUGUAAGUACCUAAAAGACCAACCAAUUCCAAUGAACAUAAUAGAAAGCAAAGGACAUACUGAUCCUACAUGCUAAAAAAAACCACACCAUCAAAACUCAAUAGAUUGAGCAACUUAGCCCAUACCCCCCUUUUUUAUAUAGCUUUGUAGUGGCCAGUAACAAUAAUGGCAACCCCUCCCCAUUUCAUACACUUCGAAAUAACUUUGUAUUGGGUAUAUGGACCAGCCAAGCAUUUCAGCACUACUACUAAAAGCUCUCCCUCAAUAAUUUUCUAGAUAAACCACAAGCAAUGACCCGAAAAUUCGACCCCGCCCCCCAACCGGUCAUCGCAUACAAAUGGAUCGAGUUUCGUUUCCUUCAAUAAAAAUAUCAUCGAUAUUUCUUAAAUGCGAUGUUUUACAUAUGAAAUAGACUGAAGGGGGGGAACCCUUUAUUUCAAUCAAAGGGCUAUCAAAGUUGACUUUAAAAUCAAUCUGUUGUUCCAAUAGGGUCGGAAGCGUGUAAAUUAUUGUACUAAAAAAUCACACAAAGUUCAAUUCCCAGGGAAGAGAGGUGGAUCACAAGGAUCUCUUAAAUACCAAGUCUUUCCUUAGACAGAAUAUCCCUUCUAUAGUAAUUUAAUAGCACAAUUAAAUACUACUAUUAUACCCUCAAAUAUUGAAAGAAAAAUAGGACAAGAAAGAACACAAGAGUUUUAACGAGGUUCGGUAAAUUAUACCUACGUCCUCGGGCACUAACACCAGAUGAUAACUUUACUAUCUUCAAAGUAUUACAAACAAAUAGAAUUCCUUAAGAAUUCUCAAAUGGGAGAAGAGAGAAAACUAAGAGAGAAAGAUUGGUUGGGAUGAAUUGAAAUGAGAAAUGAGAAGGCCUAUUUAUAGUUGAGGUUUAAGGACCAAACAAUAAAUAGCCCAUUAUCUCAAGGACCAAAAAAAAUUAUCCCAUGCCACUUUUUCAAAGUCAAAUUUAGGGUGCUAAACUUGCACCACUUUGUAUUGUUUGCCAUUAAUGUUGUCUCCCAUUAAUGUUAACAAUCUCCACCUUGAAGAUUUGAUUAGGAUAAUCACAUCUUCACACACUUCCUUCAACUCCCCAAAUUCGAUAAAGCUAUCUUUUGUAGUGCCUACAAAUGCACUCUCGGGCGCCAUACACCUGAAGGUGCUCAAAUUCUCAGGAUGUUAAUCAAGUUCAAACAAUGAUUAAACUUGAUUGUUGUUACCACCUUGGUCAUCAUAUCUGCGGGAUUAUCUGCUGUCGGAAUCUUCUGAAGUAGAAUUUUUCCUUUUUCAAAGACUUCCCGCACAAAGUGAUAUCUUACGUCGAUAUGCUUGGUUCUUGAAUGAUAGACUUGAUUUUUCGCUAAAUGAAUAGCGCUCUGACUGUCACAAUAUAAACUUAUGUGACUUUGAACAACUCCUAAGUCUUUCAACAAUCCAUUAAGCCAAAUAGCCUCCUUAACAGCUUCUGUAACUGCCAUAUAUUCUGCCUCUGUAGUAGACACAGCUACUGUAGACUGUAAGGUAGACUUCCAACUUAUUGGGGCUUUCGCAAGAGUAAACAGAUACCCCGUAGUUGAACGACGUUUAUCUAAAUCACCAGCAAAGUCGGAAUCAACAUAUCCAACUACAAACUGACCAAGUGCUUCAUCCUGUUCAAAAAUUAAACCAACAUCUACGGUUUUUCGAAGAUACCGUAGAAUCCAUUUCACAGCUUGCCAAUGUCCUUUUCCAGGAUCAUGCAUAUACCUGCUCACAACUCCAACAGCUUGUGAAAUGUCAGGCCUCGUACACACCAUCGCAUACAUCAAACUCCCAACUGCAUUAGCAUAUGGGACUUUCGCCAUAUAUUCUCUUUCAUCUUCAGUCUUCGGAGAUAAUUGAGCACUAAGUUUCAAAUGAGAAGCAAGUGGGGUACUUACAUGUUUUGUGUUUUCAUUUACACCAAAACAUUGUAAUACCUUUUUCAGAUAUUGCUUCUGAUUUAAACAGAGCUUGCCUCUCGGUCUAUCUCUACUUAUCUCCAUGCCGAGAAUCUUCUUGGCCUCACCUAGAUCUUUCAUCUCGAACUCUUGAUUCAACUGAGCCUUCAGCUUAUCUAUCUCAUUUUGGCUCUUCGAAGCGAUUAACAUAUCAUCAACAUACAAGAGUAGAUAAAUGAAAGAUCCGUCAUGCAGCUUCUGCAAAUAUACACAAUUGUCAUAUUUGCUUCUUGUGUACUUCUGCCUUCUCAUAAAGCUAUCAAAUCGCUUGUACCACUGCCUCGGGGAUUGCUUCAAUCCAUAUAGCGAUUUGUUAAGCUUACAAACCCAAUUUCUACCACCAGCAUCUGUGUAUCCUUCUGGCUGAGUCAUAUAGAUCUCCUCUUCUAACUCACCAUGCAAGAAAGCCGUCUUAACAUCAAGUUGAGCUAGCUCCAAAUUCAACUGUGCUACCAAGGCCAACAAAAUUCUAAUGGAGGAAUGCUUCACAACAGGGGAAAAUACAUCAUUGUAGUCAAUUCCCUCCUUCUGAGCGUAGCCUUUAGCUACCAAUCUUGCCUUGUAGCGAAUAUCCUUCUUGCUAGGAGAUCCAUCUUUCUUUGCGAAUACCCACUUGCAUCCGAUUGCCCUUUUACCUUUCGGUAAUUGCGCCAACUCCCAAGUAUUAUUCUUCCGGAGAGACUGCAUUUCUUCAUCCAUGGCGCUUUUCCAUUUAUCACUUUCUAAGCUUUGCAUUGCUUCUUGAUAAGUGAUAGGAAUAUCAUCAACAACGGGAAGGGCGUAGGCCACUAUAUCAGUAAAUCGAGCAGGUUUACGAAUUUCUCUCCGUGGCCUUGCAACUGCAACUGGUUCUGGUGUACUUAGUGGUUCUUGGGUCAGAACCUCUUCAACCUCUAAUUCCUCCAUUGUGGCUGGAGAAUUAGACUUAUUAACUGGGCAAAUCCCCAUCUGCUCAAACUCCACCUGUUUUGGAGUACACUCCACCUGCUGUGGAGUAUUGCUCGUCUGAAUAUCUUUAUCUGCUACCUUUUUCAAUGUGGUAGAUUCAUCAAAGGUAACAUCUCUGCUACAGAUCAUUUUCUUUGUGCUUAAGCACCAAAGACGAAAUCCCUUCACUCCAGAAGUGAUUCCCAUAAAGAGAGCUUUCUUUGCCCUCGGAUCUAACUUUGACUCCUUCACAUGGUAAUAUGCAGUGGUUCCAAACACAUGUAAGGAAUCAUAAUCUGUAGCCGGUUUUCCAGACCAUACCUCCAUAGGAGUUUUUCUUUCUAAUGCAGAUGAUGGCAAACGAUUAACAAGAUGGCCAGCGUAUGUCACAGCCUCAGCCCAAAAUUGCUUGCCCAACCCAGCAUUGGACAACAUACAUCGAACUUUCUCCAGCAAUGUUCGAUUCAUACGCUCUGCCAAUCCAUUCUGCUGUGGUGUAUCCCUAACUGUGAAGUGUCGAACAAUACCAUACUCUUGGCACACAUCGAAGAACGGAUCACUUUUAUAUUCCCCUCUAUUGUCCGUCCUAAGCCGCUUGAUUUUCUUGCCAGUCUGGUUUUCGAUCAUAGUUUUCCAUUUAAGAAAAACUCCAAGCACUUCAUCUUUAGUUUUCAUGGUAUACACCCAAACUCUUCUGGAAAAGUCAUCAACAAAAGUAACAAAGUAGUGUUUUCCUCCCAAUGAAGGUGUUUUGGAAGGCCCCCACACAUCUGAGUGAAUAUAUUCCAAAAUACCUUUUGUAUUAUGGAUAGCAGUGCCGAAUUUCACUCUCUUUUGCUUUCCCAGAACACAGUGCUCACAAAAUUUUAAUUUGCAAGCCUUUACACCUUUCAACAAUCCUUGCUUUGCCAGAAUUUGCAAGGAUUUUUCGCUGGCAUGUCCCAACUUCAUAUGCCACAACUGCAUUGAGUCCAAGUCUUUGUUACCGGAAGCUGCAGCGACUGCUCCAAUAACUGUACUACCUUGGUAGUAAUACAAGUUAUUUUUCCUGAUGCCCUUCAAUAUCACAAGUGCGCCAGAUGUCACUUUCAAAACCCCAUCUCUCAUAGUAACAACUGAACCAUUGGAUUCCAAGGCUCCCAAUGAGAUGAGAUUUUUCUUCAAACUGGGCACGUACCGAACAUCAGUCAGAACUCUGGUUGAUCCAUCUUUAUUCUUUAAUUGGAUUGAACCUAUCCCAACAGUUUUACAGGCAUUGUCAUUGCCCAUAUAAACAACUCCUCCAUUUAGUUCUACUAAAUCAGAGAACCACUCCCGGUUAGGGGACAUAUGAUAGGUACAACCCGAAUCCAAUAUCCACUCAUCUGAAUGGAACGACGAUGAUGAUGCAACCAGUGAUAGUUCAGAGUCACUAGUAUCAUGCUUAGCAACACAAGCAUCUACAGCAGCUUUUCCCUUAUUCUUCAGCUUUGGACAAUUUUUCUUCCAGUGGCCUUUCUCAUGACAAAAAGCACAUUCAUCUUUCCCGAGUCUGGACUUUGACUUUGAUCUCCCCUUUUGAGUUUUCUUCCGAGUGUAUGAACGACCUCGGACUAGUAAAGCUUCUGUAUCUCUGAUUGAGUUUUUCUGUUUGUCCUUCUUUCUCUGUUCAUAACUGUAUAAGGCCGCACAGACUUCGCUCAGAGAUAUAUCACUCCUGCCAUGAAGUAGAGUAGUUUCUAGGAACUCAAACUCCUCAGGAAGUGACCCCAACAGCAUCAAAGCCAAAUCUUCAUCUUUGAAUGUCUCAUCCAUAUUCAGCAAAUCAGUGACUAACUGAUUAAAUUUGGUGAUGUGAUCAUUCAUUGUGGUACUUGGGACGUAUGUGAAGCGAAACAGUCUUUUCUUCAAGUGGAGCUUAUUUUGACUGUUUUUCUUCAAAAAUUUUUCUUCAAGUGCCACCCACAACUUAUUUGCAGAAGUCUCCUUUGAAAAAGCAUACCUCUGCUCUCGAGAAAGGCAUGAUCGAAUUGUGCCACAUGCCAACCGAUUGAUCGCCUUCCAAUCUUUCUCCUGUACAUCAUCUGGUUUCUCUUCAUCAAUGGCAAUGUCUAGACCCUGCUGAAAAAGGGCAUCUAGAACCUCACUUUGCCACAUACCAAAAUGGCCCGUGCCAUCAAAGAUCUCCACGGCCAAUCUUGCAUUUGCAAUUGUCGGUCUUGUCCACAUGGACGAUGUUGAAGCUCCUACACCGACCGUUUUCUCCAUAAUCUUUCAAUAUACCUAAGGAAAUCUUUUCUGAUGUGGAAGAUCAGUUCAAACUGCAACCACAGAGCAUACUACGAUUAACCUUCGGCUCUUGAUACCACUUGUUGUUCCAAUAGGGUCGGAAGCGUGUAAAUUAUUGUACUAAAAAAUCACACAAAGUUCAAUUCCCAGGGAAGAGAGGUGGAUCACAAGGAUCUCUUAAAUACCAAGUCUUUCCUUAGACAGAAUAUCCCUUCUAUAGUAAUUUAAUAGCACAAUUAAAUACUACUAUUAUACCCUCAAAUAUUGAAAGAAAAAUAGGACAAGAAAGAACACAAGAGUUUUAACGAGGUUCGGUAAAUUAUACCUACGUCCUCGGGCACUAACACCAGAUGAUAACUUUACUAUCUUCAAAGUAUUACAAACAAAUAGAAUUCCUUAAGAAUUCUCAAAUGGGAGAAGAGAGAAAACUAAGAGAGAAAGAUUGGUUGGGAUGAAUUGAAAUGAGAAAUGAGAAGGCCUAUUUAUAGUUGAGGUUUAAGGACCAAACAAUAAAUAGCCCAUUAUCUCAAGGACCAAAAAAAAUUAUCCCAUGCCACUUUUUCAAAGUCAAAUUUAGGGUGCUAAACUUGCACCACUUUGUAUUGUUUGCCAUUAAUGUUGUCUCCCAUUAAUGUUAACACAAUCAACUCUCCCAAGUUGGGAACAUUGAGCAAAUUGUUGAAGGCCACCCUUUAAGCUCUCCCACCCAUUUUUCAAUACCUUACCAGUUGAGUUUAGGCAUCAAAUCAGCUAAAACUUGAAAAACUAGCAAAAGGGUCAUCAGUUAACAACUUGUCCAAUUUGAUGACAUAUAAAAAUUGGAAAUAUAAAGGGUGUCUAAUCUGUCAAUUUAACCCAAUCCCUUGAAUGAUUUAACAUUUAACCGUGCUGUAUUCUCAUUUGUUCAUUGUUCUAAUAAUUGAACUUAAUGUUCUUUUCAAAAACUGACCAACUAUGAACAAAUUGACUUUUUGUCGGUUGUCUAUGCAAUAUAUAUAUAAGCUAGGCACUUUUCUUCUCAAAGUGGAUAUUUAAGUAAUGACACAAUAUAUAUACACUGUAAAUUUUCAAGUAUUCACAAGGAAACACAGAAUUACAGAGAUAAAACAGAGGAAAAUAGUACAUUUUUCCCUGUAAUUUAUGUACUGUUUAAUGAAGAUAAGUGAAAUAAUAAGCAGAAACCAGCUGAGCUUCAAUACUAGCUAAAGCAAAAGCUACAAGCUGGUAUCCCCAAAACCUUUUUCACUUUACAAUAGUGACCAAAAAAGGAGAUUUUUAAAAGUGUAGGGACUAAAAAAAAAACAGGGUUUAAAACAGAGGAAGAGAUUCCGGGGACUAUCCAUGCAAAGCAUCCCUCUGGUAAAACCUCUCCCUUUUUUACAAAAUGGCUGAUGAAAUUAGGCCUGUUUUUCCAAGUCCUUUGAGCUUAUGAAUGUUCCAUGAAAACCGUAUGGAACUCGAGAGGGAAGUUGAACCGUGGCUUCUAGCUUUAAGUCCAUGGCGUUCACAAUUUGCAGUUCCGAUUUCCAAGUCUUCUCGUCGUGAACGAAGGCUAAAAUAUAGCCGUCGUCUUCGUUCUCCGAAUGGGGGUUUCGAGGGAAGAACAAAGGCUCACCACCAUACCUUUGAUCUCCAUAGAUAUACUUGUUAACUUCCCCGGUCGAGAGAUCGACUUUGGCGAAUCCUGACACUUUAGGCCAAGGCUCAGCUAGAGCUAAAUAUGCAAACCGAGUCUUUCUUCCCAGUAAAUUCUUGUUCACCAUCCCUGCUUCCAAGUUCACUUGCUCGGAUUCAGAAAUAAUGGCACGGCGAGUCGAUUUCCCGGUCUUCAAAUUCAAUCUAAUUUCAGACAGAACACUCUUGAGAUUCUCUUCACAUUCAUUGAAAAUGGAAUCUGGGGGUGUCAUGCAAGAACCAAUCACAACAACUUCGUUAGUUUCUGGUUCUUCCCAAGCAUUCCAAAGAUGGAAACAAAAGCAAUCAGGUGCUUCAAUCCAUUUAAUCCCAGAAGCAUCAAUGGCAUUCUUGUUCAAUACCCCAAACCUUGAUACCUUGUUCUUAUCAUACACAACGGGUGAACCACCAUGAACCAUUUCACCCAAUUUGAAAACAACUUGUUGGUCUGGUAUCACCACAAAAUUUUCAGUGAUGGCGAAGUCGUGCAUCAUUGUUGGACCAUCAACUGGGAUUUCAACAUCAGGUGAUUUCUUACCACCGGGUGAAAUUUUAAAGUACUUGAGAUGCGGUUUUUGGAUAACAUCAUAGCUAAGAGCAAAGAAUUCACCAGUUUGUGGAUCAACUUUGGGGUGAGCAAUCAUUGUGGAUUUCAACUGACCAUCAAAAUCGUAUCUGCCAAUGGUUUUCAAGUCACCAGAUGGAGUAAUACGAACAUGGUACGGCAAAUCAUCUUCAGACAUGGCUAGAAGGUGGCCGUUGAAGUAAACAAGUCCCGCGUUAGCAACACCAGUGCCAUGGCUUGGAUCAACGAGUCCACAUAAACCUCGAGCAUAGAAAAGUAACAGUCUAGCUAUGCCUGAAUGACCAUGGAGUUCACCUAUGGCUUUAGGGAAAACAGGACGCCCAAAAGCUCGUUCUUGAACCAAACGGUUGGUUUCAGUGAACCUACAAGCAUAGCUAGCUGAGCCAUUUUUGAACUGAACCGCAUGAACCAUCCCAUCCCCAUCGAAGAAAUGGUGUCCAGCCACCGGUUCAUGAAGCGGGUUGGCACCGUUUCGAGCGUAGACUCCUUGUAUGCAAUCCGGGAUUGUUCCAAUAACGGGAAGCCUUUGUUUAACAGUUUGUUCAGGGACCGGAGCAAAGUUACCGGAAAUUUGUACACCAGGGUCAGCUGUUUUCGGCAAAGGAUGUUGACGCUCAUGAGAAACCAAAGCAUUCUCCACCGCAUCUAAAGCCAUAGCCGCCGCUCUUUGCAAAGGAUUCCAUUGUUGGGAUUGAGUAGUUUUCUCGGUGUUUUUCGUUGGAGGAGUAGAAGAAGGUGAUGGUGGAAAAGCUGGUGAUUGUUGCUUAGGCAAAUGAAGAAUUGAAUGGGUUUGCAAAGAACAUGAAAUGUAGCGCUUUUUAAAACCAAUACAAGAAGAAGAAGAAGACGAAGACUGAGGAGUUGAAACAGGGAGUUUAACCUUAACACAACAGCUCCCACUAGCCACUGAUGCUGCUGUUGAUGAAGCCAUAAGGCUAAGCCAAUUACUAGUGGUUAUGUAGGCUUCGUUAUGAAUGGUGAAACUUGAUUGGUUUUGAAAAAGAAUACAAAAUAAUUAAGACUCAAAGAUUCUAUACUUUUAUGUGUGCUUGAGAAAGACCCUUUUUCUUUUGUAGGUGAAGAGAAAUGGUGAGUGAGUGAGUAUGAAUGAGAAAGGGGAGAGAGAAGAGGGUUUAUAUAGAGAGAGAGAAGAGAAAUAGGUCCACUACAAACAUAUAAGAGGAGACCACGUGUUGCAUUUGAGUAGCAAAACAGGGGCCGACUCUAAUUAAAAAGGUUGAGUGACAAUUUGAAGUGAUUUAAAAAAAAGGUGUUUUGCGGGUCAUAUUGCUUAAUCCUUUGACACGAUCCCCCCUCCCCUCCUAUCUUUUCUUCUCCUUCUAUAAUUUCAUUUUGCAGAAACAUCCCAAACUUUUAUUCCCAUCAAAUUCUAAUUCCAUACCCUUCAUGUUCGAAGCUUUAACUACACUUUACUCUUCACUCAACUCCUUCAUCUUUGUUAUGUAUCAAGUGUAUAUGAAGGAAAAACUUAGUAUGAUGCAUUGUUUGUUUGUUUACUUGGCUUAAAUCCAUUCAACCAUGUUUUUAUUCUAAAAGAAGUAUUAAAUUAAUAUUGUCACAAAUAAUUUAUUUGGGAAAAAAACAAAAGGAAUUUUGUUUAUAAUAAUAACAAUAAUAGUUGAAAAGAAAAAGGGAAUAGGAGGUGAUAUUGGAGCAUUAUAGGGGAGAAGGGGGGGGGGAGGGGGUAGACCACGUCCAACCCCGCGUUUCAUCCUCUAACGAGAGUCGUUUAGAGCAACACGUGGCCUUUGCUGCUUUUCAACUCCUUCCCCCAAAUCUAAGUCACAUCAUUUGUCCCACACGCUUACCCAGUUCCCUCUCCAACAUUACACUAUGCUUUUUUCUUUUUCUUUCUCUUUUUUUAUAUCAUUAAAUUAAUUGCUAACCAACACUUUCUACAUUUACACACUUAUAGAAUCCCGUCCUUCGGCUCAUUGCUUAAUAGUAUUUAUCCUAAUCCCAUUUCCCUUCCCAACAAUACUCUCUACUAAACACAACCCUAAGUUCAACUCUAUUAGUUGAGUGUUCAUCUAUUUCAAGAAUAAUAUAGAUUCAAAUCAUAAUUGUAUAAAAAAAUAUUAAAUAAUACUUUGUACAUUUAGAUUCACUACAAAACUAUGCAUUUGAUCUAUGUUCAUCUCAAUACUUAUGUCAUGAGAAUGUAUGUAGGUAGUGGUUUGCUCCUACUAAUGGUGUGUAAGUUGUAAAAGAAACUUAAAGCUUAACAUUAAAAGUAAGAUUUGAAUAUAGUUGAUUCAUUUAUUUAUUUUAUUAUGUAGUAGUAAAUUUUGCAAUAAUCGGAUUAGAUCAAUCAAUUAAAUUGAAAAAUAUAUUUGAUUUGAAGGGUAUAUAUAAAUAAUAAAAUCGAUCAAUAAAACGAUAGCGAAUUUUUAUUUUUAACUCAAAGAAAUUUUAAUAAAAUUUACUUCUAACUCAAAUAUUAUUUUAAUAAUUAUUUAACUUUUUAUAUUGUUUGUUUUAUAUUAUAUUUUUUUUUAAAAUCACAAUCUAAAAUGAAAAAAUUAAAAAUUUACCUAUUCAAAUUGACCCGAAAAUCCAAUUCAUUCAGUCCAAUAGAACCGAAACUUAAAUAUCUUUUUGACACAGCUUAAAAUGUUUGUUUGUGAAAAAUAUCAAAGUCCAUAAAUAUAAGUGAUGACUCAAUUUGAAUUGUUUAUAUGAAGCAUGUCAUGUGUUACAUCCAUAUUAUAUAUAUAUAACUUGUCAUUCAAUAAUUAAUCAUUACUCUUCAACAAAUUAAACAUAAACUAUCUGUUUGUGCUGAAACUGGUUGUGUUUUUUUUCACUGUCAACAGAUAUUUUUCUCAUGUAAAUUAAUAUUAUAAUGUUUAUAUUUAAUAUAUAAUUCAAGAAAAAUAUUAAAAUUUUCAUUACUUUGGGGUAUUUUAUCUUUCAUAUGAAGCAAAAUCAUUUCUUUCUCUUUUUAUUGGUUCAAAUUAAGGGUGGAUUUAGAUUAGUGUGGGGUGUGAUAUGACAUAUUUAAUUUAUUUUUUAUUUUAUGUUACAUCAUUGUUAUAAUAUCUAAUCUUAUCAUUAUUGUUAUUUUUACAUUAAAUAUAAAUAAAUGUUUCGCGUAUCUAAACUCAACCUAAAAUAUGUGAUUGAGUUAGAAAGGACAAAGUGAAAGGGGUAAAUAGAAAAAUACAGAUGGCAGCAAGGAUGAUAUAUGUAAGAUAGUGUGGAGAAAAUAAUUGAAAUUAAAAGGAAACAUAGAGUAUUAGCCUUACGUAAGACAACAUAAAGUAUUAAAGUUAGUGUCAAUUCCUAUAAAAUAGAAUAAAAAUUUACCCAAAACCCUAGAAAUAUUUUUGGUGUUAUGUGUCAUUCACCACAAAAAAAAAAAAAAACUAUACAAAAAUUGGUCUUAAAUUAAUCGCUUAAUCCAAAAUGGGGAGACAGCAGACAGGUGAUAGUUAGGUACCCUAUUUGACGGCAUUAUCCUUGUAUUUUAUUUUAUUUUUUAAAUUCUAUGAUUGAAAAUUUUGGACGAGUUCAUGGAUUGUUUCAAUUAGGAAUCCAUCAUUUAUAUCAGUUGGGUAUGGAUUUAUGAGAUCGAUAGAAAUUUAGAAUUUUUAUAUUGAAAUGAAAAUCUUAUGGAGAUUGUUGAAUCUAGAACGUUCACUAGAAAUAAAUAAAUGAAUUAGUCUCAAAAUAGGGUAGGUCUUUCUACUAUAAAAUUAGUAUAGGGAUUAUUUCUCUAAAUAUGUAUUUUUUGAAGGGUAUCUCGACAAGUUAAAAGGUCCUUUAUUUUGUACUAAGAUUUAAGUUUUUAGAGCCUAUUUGGAUUAGGGAGGGUAUUAAAGGAUUGAAUUUCAAUAUUAACUUGAUUUAAUUAAAAACUCAAAUAAAACCUUAAUUUAAUUUUUUUCAAAAUAAAUUAAACUCAAGAAAAUUAAGAAUCUUGACAUUUUUUAGUAUCGAGGUCAGUUUAAAACUUAUAAUAGAGUCUUAAUUGUAAAUGUUCUCUUUUAAAAUUAGAUAGAUUUUAAAAAAAAAUUAAAUAACUAUAUUCACUUAAGUGUCGAGGUUCUUUCAAACACUUUGAUGAACCCCUAACCUAAAUUUUAUAAAUAAAUCAUCCCAAUUACUUAAUAGAAAACCAAAAAUAUCUCUCUUAUACAUAUUCUAAACCAUCCUAUAUAUCAAAAAAAUCCCUAAACUUAGAUUUUUUAAGUUUUUAUAAUAGCUAUCUUUUAUCGAUGAUGAUGAUGGUUGAUGAACUACAGUUUUUGUUUCCUUAAACUUUCUAUAUGAUCAUAGUCCCUUUAAUAAUUAAUGUGAUUCAUCUUUAUGCAUUAAUGGUAGAAUACUUAGUUAUAGUCGUAGUUAAGAAUAUGGAUUAAGGGGGAGCAAUUUUCCUUGUUUUAUGAAGAAUAUUUGUUUUGCUCAAAAAUUGUCAUAUAGGGAGACUAUCAAAGGCAGUUUUGGCUUCUAGAUACAACAACAAUUGCAACUUGAGAUAUAGCUAAAAAAAAAAUUAUUAUUUCAAAACAAUAUGAAAGUAGAAAUUAAUUAGCACCCAUAUUUGAUGUUCAAAAGUGAAAAAUCUAAUCGGUAACGAUCGAACCAAAGUCGUUCAAUGUAAUCCAUAUUCUUUUGGGAGAUCAGUAUAGAAUGAGAGAUCUUAUCAAUCAGAUCAUUUUAACUUUUGAUUAUAUUGAAGAUCUCAAUUUUUCUUAACGUUUAUGAAGAUAAUUGAAUAUCUUUAUGGCUGUGUGUUGGGAAAAUAUAAUUGUAAUUUAUUUGUAACUUAUCAAGCCUGAGAACGUUGUAUAUAUGAUGGGCUUGCAUUAGGUAAAAAAAUAUUGAGAGAAAAUACUUCAGUUUUGUGCAUUUUAUAAACUAUUUUUGUAGUGCAGAAAUUGUAAGUAAACACAAGUGAGCCACUUGGUUUACACAAACUUUCAAUGGGAAGGUUUUAGGGGAGAGUAAUUCAUAUUAGAAUAUAAGUGUGAGGUUGCUACAUGGUGUGUAGAACUAAAAUCAUUGCUUAUACUUGCUGAAGAUUAGUAGAUUAGCUCUUUGGGAAAGGCCAUAUAGAUGUAGGAAUAAUCUGAGUUGUGUUACAAAGUUCGUUGUUUCAUUGUUGUUCUUAUAUUCUCUUGCAUGUUCAUCCAAUCACAACUUACCAUAAAUUUGACAGUAUAUACGCUUAGCAAAAUUCAACCAACUUUCAAUCUUGUACCAUUAAGGCACUUUAUUACUCUCUCGGGUUGAUUCUUUGGAAAACAUUACUAACUAAAAGAGAAAAGAUAACAUCACUUUCGCACCAUCUCUAAUUCGUCCGAUGACUCACUUUCUUCCAUAUAUCUUCUAUAAUGGAUCGAAAAAAUUGAAUCAAUAAUCGAAAUUCUCAUCAGUAUUUUUUUAAUCAAAUAUUUUUUUUACAUUAACUAAUUUAGCAUAUCUUCUGGGGAAAGAUUAUGUUUCCUCAAAAGCAUAUAAUUGUCUUUUUAAAAUGGUGGAUUAGAAAUAAAAUAAUAAAUUGUAGGUAAGAGAGAUUCCUCUUCCAAUUAAUUUUCCACCAUGAACAUGGAAGAGGUAAACAAAUUUUUUAACAUAAAACUUCAAAUGAUGUGCUAACAUGUAACAACCAUAUCUCCAUUCACCUUCCUACAAUUAUUAAAAUAAAAAGCAUAUAAAUAUUUCAAUGCAAGAUUGUCUCUUCCCUAAUGUCAUGGAUGACCUUAAACCACUAAAAACCUUACUUUUAUAUUCAUUCACUUUACAAAUAUUAUUAUUAAACUUAAAUUAAAGCUCGACGGUUGGUUAAUUUGUUGAAAGACGACCAAUCUCUUCCAUUUCUUUUUCCAUCACGAAAUCUCUCGUCUUAAUUUAUACUAUAAAAUACAACAUUCUCAAACCCUACAACGUGUCCAUCAAUCACCGCUCGCCUCUUCAUAAUGAUUAGAUCUUGAAAUUUCUAGCUAAAUUAUUUUUUUUAAAAAAAACAUUUAUUUUAUAUGGGAAUUUAAAAUAUAAUUUUAUUAUUUUUAAGUAAAGUGUAAUUUGACCAUUUAUUAAUCUAUAAUUUUAUAAUUUUUUUGCUGUGAGCAUCACCCUUGUAUAAUUAACACAUCACUAACAGAUGCUUUCAACGAUUUGAUCCCAUGACCUAGGUAUGAAAUGAAUACCCACAUUCAAACAUUAGAAAAUUCCCCCUCCAAAUUCUACAUUUUGAUUAAUUUAAUGCAAUGUGAACAUUUUGCCAAACUAAUCAACAGCUUUGUUUAAUUAAAGUAGAAAGAAAGCAACUAAAUUAUGUUAAUUACAACUUAAAACCAUGUUAUUCAACCUACUAUUUACACACUUUUCGUAUGCACGUGCACAUCUGUAAUUUGUGUGUUUUAGAUUUUGGCAAAUAUUUCAUAUAACUUCAUUAUCUAUGUUGUAAUAAUAAUAUGCAUUAUUGGUUGCAUUAAUGUCUGAAAUCAACAGGGGAAAUUAUGAAGGGAAAAUAAAAUUGUUAUAAUUAAUUAUAGAGGUUGAUGAUCCACGAGAGGUACGUGGGGAAUUCACAUGACUAUUAUUACCAAUUUUGUUUGUUUUGUUAAAGAAUAAUUUAAUUUGGACCAAAUCCUCAUGUUACAUAUAAUAAUUAAAUUAGCUAAUCUAUAGGUUCUAAAUUAUUUUACUUAAUCAAUCAUAAAAUAAACGAAAAGUGCAUAUUUAAUAAUAAAUUGAAAAGACUUUUUUUGAAUAUAAUAAUAUGAACUCUUAUCUAAAUAAAUUAUUAAAAUUUAGGGAUUUUCAUUAUUUUACUCAUAAUUUAUUUAUUAGUCAUAUGAUUUUACAAUAAUAGAUAAUGAGAAAAUCGAGAUUUUAGUUAUCAUUGUUCGGAUCAGGCACAUGAUCAGUUCAUUCAGUUCCAGUGAAAUUUUUUGAAUAUUGUUUAUUGUUUAAAAGGAUUAGGUCUAGACUUUAGACUUUAAGUAAUUUCAAGAUUAGAAGAAAUGAUAUAUGAAUUAUAUUUAGUCAGAAAAAAAAUUUGUGUAGUUGAAAGAUUAAGUUAUAUAUUUUUUAAGAGUUAAAAUGUAGUUUUAUUUCUGUAUUUAAGGGUGAGCAAAAUUCGAUUUGAUUUUAUUCGAAAAAUUGAAAAGAAUUUCAAAUUUCGAGUUAAUCAAGUCGAGUCUUUUAAAGUUUUUCGAGCCAGCUCGAAUAAAUAAUUUGAGUUUCGAGUUCGAGUCAAGUUGAAUUCAAAUAAUGCUAAUAACAUAUUGGUGUAAAUAUCUCUUUAGUCCCUAUCAAUUUUGAAAAUAAGCAAUUUGGUCACUCUCAACAAAAGUUACAAAAAACAUUCAAAAUAUUUAUAAAAUUUUUAAAAUAAAAUUCUAAAGAAUAUAUAAAGAAAUUAAAAAAUAUAAAAAAAUUCUAAAAUAAUAAUUUUUUGGACCUGAAUAAGUUAAUUAAUGAUUCAAGUUUAUCAUACUAAAGUAUCUUCUUCUUCUUUCUUUUUUUUCUUAUUUUGCUUCAAAAAGGUUUUCAAAUAUAUAUGUUUCCAAAUUUAUGUGCUCUAACAUGAAAUUAGUUAUACUCUAACAAUAUUUUAAUUUGACAUGUUUACUUUUUUUAAUUUAACUCAAACAAUUUCACUCGAUUCGAUUCGAUUCGACUCGACUCGACUUGAAUUUCAUUUCAUUUCAUUUCACUUGACCCGACUCGAUUCAAAAAAUUUUCAAAUCGAAUUAGGAUGAUAAAAUAGAACUCGUAAACUUGAUUAACUUGAAAUUUUCACUUGAUUCAAUCGAGUGCUUACCCCUACUUGUAUUAAUUUAUAUCAUUAUAGUUUUUAGGAGGACCAAAUCAAAAUUUUAUCAAUUUUAGAAGAUUAAGCUAUAAUUUUAUUAUUUUUAAUAUAUGCUAAACAGAAAAUUACAUAAAUAUAUUUGAAGCUUACUAAUUUACAAUCUUCAAUGAAUUACGAAACAACAUUGUUGCUCGAAAAAUCAGAAUUAAUCCUUUAAAAAAAUCAGUAUGCAAGUGUUAGUAGUUUAAAUGGCACAUGAAAGGGGCAUGGAAAUGGAAAGCAUAUCUCUAAGUAGUAAGAGAUGCAAAUGCAAAACCAUUGGAUCACAUGUCCACGUGGUCACAUGUGCUAUUUAAUUAAAUGCUAUCAACAUAAUUAGUCUUUCAAUUAUUGUCAAGUGGAAAUAAUAGGCAUGUUAAAAAUCUCAUUUUGGGGGUGGGAAGUUCACUAAAUUAAGAAAAAAUCACAUCAAAAUAACAUAAUUCUUAAUAAGAAAAUAACAUAUUUAAAUCUUGAUUGAGUUUUAAUUCGACUGACAUGGACAUUAUUAUCAAUAUAGGAUGACGUGAAUUCGAGUGUGUUAAAACGCAUUAUCUUCCUAUUUAUGAGUUGAGGAGGAGUUAUAAAUAGUUCUGCUUAUUAUGUCAAAAAGAACAAAUAUAAUUAAAAUCCAAGAAUUAAAAAAACAUACAUUAAUUUGGACCCAAAAUUGAUUGGAUAUUAUAAUUUUAAAAUAAUUGUAUUAAUUUAUUUAAAUUGUGUUGUAUUUCGUAUUUGAAUGUUGAUUUCUUUAGUUUUCAAAAUUUCAACUUGAAUUGAUCAUAUUUUAUAAGACAGUUCGAUUAAUAGUAUUGAGAGGUGUGUAAAUAGGCCAAUUUGCCCGGCCCAUUGGAAACCCAAAAGCAAAAUAUAAAAUAAAUAAAUAAUAAUAAAAACCCACAGCCCAUUUACAAAACAAUCCAAAGCCUUAAGGCCCAAACGGCCCAAAAACUAAAACUGCUUCAGCAACCCUAGGUCACCCCUCCUUCAUUUGCGCCGCAACCCCUGUAGCCUCCAGGCGCCGUACAACGCCUCCAGCAACCACACCAAGCCUCCAUAAGCUAACACGACUCCCGUACACACGACAACGCGCCUCCGUAUGCCAGCACAGCACCCGUACCUGAAAGAGAACAAACCACAGCAGCGAGUAGAAACAAAGAAUAAUAUUGUAUAUUUUCGAUUUAUUUUUCUUUCUUUUCGGCUAUAAAAGCCAAGCUUUUAAUCUUUGUAAAGGUUACGCAUACAGAAGCAAUAGAAAACGAAAAAAAGAGGCAAUAUACAAAAAAAAAAAGCAACGAGCAUUCGAAGGUGAUUCCGAUUCCAAUCUCUGAGACUUUUCUUUUAUUCUUGGCGCAGUUCAUUUAUUUCUGAAUUUUCAGUUGUUCUUUCGCAUUUUGAGUGCAUAAAAGAAAAAGGAAAUGAAACCUUACCUAGGGUACUACGUAGAUCUCCUUCUGCUUUGUUGAAGUCGAAGCCAGAAGGAGAUUUUGAGGCUAAAAAUCAUCCUCCGGGCUUGGAUGAGCAGUUCGUUGCCUGGGGGGAUGGGAAUCAUCGGUUUGGGGCGGUGACUUAGGGUUCGGCUAAGGGGAAAAAGAAAGGCUAGGGUUGCAUGAGGGAUUUGGCUGAAUGAAGGCAUGACUAGGCCUUUUUAAGGAAACGAAAACGGCGCCGUUUCAACCAAUUUAAAUGGUUCAAAAAUGACGUCGUUUGGUUGGUGUGCCCGACGACCCGAUCUGGUUCUUCGACCCUCAGGACCCGCGCAUCUUCACGGUGAGGGGUUAUUUGCAAGCUAGAUCCUUCCCCUUUUGCGCCGCAUCUCAAUCAACCCAUCUGCGCUUCUUUUGUUUUUUUUUUCCUAUAAUUUGCGCUUAUUUGCAAUAGGAUCCGUGCCUGAACACAGCACUUUGGGAUCUGGUAUAUUGCCAGUUUUAGUCCCUAGACGUUUCGCGCAUUGAAUAUUGAUCCUUUUAUUGUUUUUUUUAUUUUCGAAUUAUCCCUUUGUUCUAGUUUAAUUUUAAUUAAGUUAUUAUUAUUUUAUAACCCAUUUUCUAUUCUUAAUCAAUUGUUUGUACCUUUUAAAUGACUUUGGUAAUUGUUACUUUGUCAUUGAAA